rnacentral:lncRNA from 1 species
UGCCUUUUACACCGCACAAGUGAAAGAAAAUGGUAUGCAGGCACCAGCACCCACAACUACAUGUGUGCUCAUGUGCCCAGCUCUACAAAUGAGGACAUGUCUGUUUUUAACCACCAUUGUCAAAAUCUCCAGUUGAGUACAGAUGACAAACAUUAGGUGUUCAUUAUAUCACAUGCCUGUGAUAUUGAGCAGAUAGAAACUUGAAAUUAAUGCCCAAGACAGCCAGGCUGUUUAGCUUAAUUAAAUUUUUUUAAAAAGAAUAUAUCCUCUCCAGGGGUUUAUCAAUACUGAACUGGAGGCACUUGUUUAGAAAUUAAGAUUAGAUCAUUAGAAAAUCAAAAGAAAAUAUAAAAUACCAUAACAUAGUCAUAUAAGGUUAUAUUUUUCACCCUUAAAACAAAAAAUGAUAAUUUAAAGUAGUAAGUAGACAAAUAAAUUAAAAGGCAAACUUAAAUAUCAUCAUCAUUAUUCAUUAAUCUUCAAAAACAUCUUCAUCCAUGCUUUCCUCAACUUCACUUGAAUCCUCGUCCUCCAUCCAUUUCAUGAUUAUAAUCCGAAUCCUCAACUCUCAAAACUGCACUUGUUUAGAAAUAGAACUUGAUCUCUCUUUAUGUGUAGUUCUAGCACUGGAUGUUGAAAAAAGAGUGUGGCUGGUGUUUCUCUUCUAAGGUGUCUUUCCUUGUUUGUUUGUCUCCCACUUUAAUGAUUUUUUUUUAUUCCUUUUUACCCUAAUCUUUCCUUUUUACAAAAAUGCACCAAAGUCGUUUCUUGUAGUCAAUUAAAAAUUGGACAGAUAGGUCAAAACAUAAGACACGACAUAAAAAGUACUUCAAGCAGGUGCUAGCUUGAACGCCUUGCACCCACUCACAAGGUGCUCGUCCAGGCAGCGCUACACUGAAAUUCAUCACCUGAGGCUAAUAAAGGCGUUGUGGCCUUGCCUCGCCUGGAGUGCCUAGGCAAGCGCCUUAGCAUCCCUUGACAACAUUGGUACUAUAUACAACAAACUUCUUGAUUCCCACUUUUAAUGUACAAAAGCAAGAGAAUGGUAUUGUAUGUAAAACUACUGCAUGUAAAAUUACAUACCAAGUUGGUUGAUAAUCCCUGGAAGAAUAUCUUGUAGUUCUGCAGACACAACAAAUUCAAUUUGUAUUAGUCCUUCUCCAUCUCACUAUCGCACUCACCCACACAGGUAUAUAAAACUUUAGCAAAUUAAACAUUGACAAAAGACAGUAGGAAAAUCAUGUCAAGGUUAGACACCUACAUCAAAUUGACAGUAUCAGAAGAAACAACAACAUUUCAUUUCACUAAAACUAGUAUCAAAUUCUAAACAGAACACCAGUUCAAAUCAGCUAGUAAAACUGCUAUUGAACCAAAGCAGUGCAUGAAUUAUUAGAAAAAAAGCUGCCAACCAAGUUGAAAUAAUCAACAAACAAACACCUCCAGGUUAAAAACUUACUUCUGGUUUGAGGAGUGCCUGUAAUAACCCAUGUGUUGGCAACAACAGAGGCUUGGACUUUCGGGUUAACAAACUGAAUAACCAAAUCAUCCUUAAAGAUGUUCACUUCUUCAAUAGCUGGAAUUGUAUUAACCCCAAUUCUCUUCAAGGUGCUUUGCAACUUCUUGUCAUCAGUUGUUGAUGACUUGUGCACUGCCUUCUUCUUUCUACACGAAAGAGCCAAAAAAAAAAAUCAUCAACCAAAAACACCCAGAUUCUAAAAAAUCCAAAAAGAUAACACCUUCACGCACCAAUUCUAACAAACAAGCAAAAGAAGAGAAACCCGUGAUUUUUUUUGACAAAUGAAAGAGCCCAAGAUUUCCAAAACAAAAAUAAUAAAGCCAUUCAGCAAAUAAGAAUCCAAUACUACCACAAAUGAGCCAAACCCCCUAAACUUCAGAGCUUCAAAAACACAAAAAAGAUGGAAUCUUUACGAGUUCUACAGUAAUAUAGUACCUUCUCAUGGUUCCCUUGCCACCAGUUCGAACAGAACCAGCCAUCUUCAUGAGCUUCUCUCUAUUCAUCUGUAUAUACUUCGCAACAAAGUUAGUGUCUUUGACAAAACCCUACAAGCAUUUGCUAUUAAACCCUAGUUUCUCAUCAAAAGAAAUGAAACAAAGAAGUGAACUUGUUAUGAAAUUAGAAGUUAAGUAACAGUAGCAAGUACCUUGUGAUAUUAAAUUUUCUUGAAGAGAUAGAAGAGAAGGGCAGAUGUGAUGAGCAGAGCUAAAAAUUAAAAGCGGAGCCAGGGAGAAAUUGGGGUUAGCUUGAUGACAAGGGUUUUGCUGCGCACUCCAAUGUAUAAUUACUGUAUUACCCUCCUUCCCUUUUCUUUUCUUUCAUUUUUAUUUCGAGAGGAAAUUAUUUUUUUACAUAAUUACAUUUGUCUUUAUAAUUUGAAAGAUUAUACUUUACACUCUAUAAUUUGAUAUUUACAUAAUACUUUGUUUUUAUAAUUUAAAAAAAAAUACAUUUUUUUCAUGUACUUUGAUAUCUAAAUAACACUUUAAUUUUAUAAUUUUAAAUAAUUUUUUUAAAAAACAAAAUCAAUCAAAAUAUUAUGACAAUUUUUCAGCCCCGGAGAGGGUGUGUGCAUGUUCAGAAGAAAAGGCAAAAAAAAUCAGAGGAGUUUUCAACAAUUUUUUCCAUUAUCCAAGCAAAUAAAAAAAAGGAGUAAUUUCUUUGAGUUAUCAACCAGCCUUCCUCACCUUAUCUCUUCAUCGCGAUUUCUCCCUCAUUUUUUUACGCUAUGCAAAACCUUCAUCUCACUGUCCACCAAUAAUAUUUUUAUUAUAUUUUUGUUUUAGGGUUUUUUUAAUCAUUUAAAAAAUAAUGACAAUUUUAUAAAUAUUUAAAUAACUUUUAUUAAUUAUAUUUUUAAAUAAAAUGUUAAUUAUUCAGGUAUCAAACUACAAAAGAUAAAAUGUAAUUUCUCAAAUUAUAAAAACAAAGUGUUAUUCAUGUAUCAAAUUACAAAAUGCAAAGAGUAAGAUUUUAAACUAUAGAAAUAAAAUAUAAUUUGCACCAAAUCAUAGGAUGUUAUAUGUAGUUUCUCCUUAUUUUUACCCUUAUAAUUUUAAUUUUUAUAUUUUUAAAUGAAAGUUUAUCUCUUAAUAAUGUUAAAUAAUACGAGUAUUGUGAUGAAUUGCUUAUUUGCGAUGAUUUUUUUAAAAAAUAAUAUUUUAUAUAUAUAAAAUAUAUAUUUUUAAGUAAUGGCUUGAACUUUUCAUGCAAUCUUUAACUUAUUUAUAGGUUCAUUUAUCCCAUUUCAGACCUUAAAUUAUGCUUCACCUUAUCUCUUUUUACCAGCUACAUAUUUCAACUGCUUUUUCCCUGUUGGAUUGGCCUAGAGCUAGUUUCUUUACUGCAACAAUCUUCCCAUUCUUCAAAAUACCCUGUUAUGUUAGAUUGACACAGCAGUACAGGAAGCAUUAACUAACAAUAGAGCAGUGAGGCAGAGAGUAUAAUUGAAAUUUUCCAUCAAGAACAGUAUCAGAAUAUGAGCAUUCUCUCAUAUCAGAUCUGAUUUUAAUUCCUUUUUACUGUAAUCUGCGGCGCCACGCAACUCAGUUGCGUCCAAUAUAGAAUUGUGGCCAUGCCAUUACCUUACCUCUAGGAGUUGCCUUCCGCUUCCUUGAUGGUUUAAACCAAACAAGCAAUCCAACAAUAAGGGCAUUUCUCUUAUGCUUCAGUAUCAUAUGUAGGCUUCAGUCGCCUGUCUGCGCGUUACGGGCUCAAAUGCAGAUGUUUCAUAGAUGAUCUAGGGUUGACAGUAUUUCAAUUGCAAAUGUCCAUAGCUUGUUUUCUACAUCAUAGAAAUCAUGAUUUAAGUGGCUAAAGACACCUAGAAAUGCAUCAGGAUGGCAAAUGUUGGUUGAGAGGGAGCCUCAGUAGUUUUCAAGAAAGGCUUGAGGUUGAUUGUCUGGUUAUCAGCAAAGAAGGGUCUGUCCGAGAAUCUCAUAAAACAUCCUGAAUCAAAUGCCCUGCCAUCCGUAUUCGGAGGACAUCUCUGUAUGUUGUCAGAGGCCACUUCAAUACAAGCUUGGUGCAAUUCAAAGUUUGUAAAUAUAUUCCACAAGUGGAGUAUCUGUAGAAUAUCUGGAAAGCAACAUCCAUUCCAUCCUCCAUAGUGCCACAGCAUAGACUUGGCGGAAAGAUGUCAACGACCCGGUUUCUAAGAGCAAAACAAGAGAUCAGGUAUCCACCAUGAACAGCAUCCAAAUUUCCUCGCCGAUGGAAAUAAACUUGUAACGUAACAACAAACUCAUGCCUUGACAUUCUCAAGAUUUAACACACAGGCCUUCCAACCAUGUUUAUUAUAGCUAGCAAAGUGCUCUCACCUUGUGGAAUUGCUCAACUUACUAGUCACUCCACAAUAUAUCUCAAUUAACACAGAAUAAUAUAGAGAGAUGCAAUGAUCAUGAUCGAUGCUAUUCAAAUUCCUGCUUUCCUUGAGAUCUGCCACUCACCAUUUGCUAACUAUGUAGAGUGGACGUAUUUCAAUUAAAAUGUGUCAUUUACUUAGUAGGGGUUUUCUUUUUUUUAAUUAGAACAGUAAAUUUAAAGUUUUGGUAAAGAAAACCAGCUGAAGUGGCAAACUUUUAAUUUUAUUCGCGCUUCAUGCUUCAUAAUAUGAUAUUUAAACAUGUCUCGUUUUUAAAACAUAAUAACUGUCAAUUAGCUAGCCAGUUAUAUAAAUGAAUUGAUCAUUUCACACAAAAAUUAUAAUUUUAUAAUAAAAAUUUCAAAUAUAUUUUAUGAAUAUUUAUUCACCUUGUAAACUAAAAAACAGACUCAAAUUAAAAUCUUAUAAAUUUAAUGUUCACACAGUAGUUUUCACAUGUAAUUAUAAAAAGUUAGGUGUGUGGGUCUACCAUACAUAUAUAUGUGCCAUUUAUUUAUUUUUUCAAACUUUUUUUUUUCAUAAAUACAUUAAAAUAAUAUUUUUAUUUAUUUUUAAAAACAUAAAACAUAAAAAAAUAAUUUUAAAAAAACAGUAAUAAAUUUCAGCAAGCCUUUGAGCUGCACUCUCAAAGAAGAGCAUCUCGUUAUCAACGUCCGUUUCAAACAAAGCAAGGACGAAAGGCUACAGGGGGAGAAAGAGGAGACACUGCAAAGUCUUAAAAGCUUCAUCGAGUCCUAAUACAAAGGUUGAAAAAAUAUUUACUCAUUCAAGCCCUGAAGCCACUAUACGAGUGUGCUCAGCUAUGAAAUGGUUGAAAAGCUUUUCUUGAAGAGCAAAACACUCUACGAAUAGUGCUCUUGACAUAAUGCAUGUGUGUGUAAGAAGCUGCAAUAUACAUCUGACCAGUAAAGGAAGUCAUGCCUAGAUGGGGCUAAGUUUAGGUGACCCACAGUUUUAACAAAUUCCUUGCUGUACUAAUAAGCAUUAGUACUAGACUAUAGAGAUGGUGUGAAGAUAGACCAAUCACAUGCACGCAAAUUAUAUCAGAAAAUAGAUGACCAACUCUUGAUCACAGAAAUCAUAAUGUUUCCACUAAGCAAAAGCUUUAAUCUCUUUAUAAGACCAUUCCAACUCCUCUGCUCACUUGCUCAACUCCACAAUUCGAAACUCAUGAAUCUAAAGGAUUUCAGUGACUAAAGAAAAUGAAGCUUUGAUUUGAACUUGUGUCAUUCAUUAUGAUGCCUUUCAGGAAUUAGACUUCUACAGCAGUACUAAUUCAUAUUCUCCCCUAGAUCUCCAGCACAACUGACCAAAUUAAUGCAUUCAGUGGAAAAAUGAUGCGACCUAAUGCAAGUCAGCUAAGAAAAUGACACACAAGGGAAUGAAACAAAAAACUUACCCACAAACAUCUUCAAAUCGCAAAAAUAUUUGAAGCAGUCUCUACCUCUCAGGAGUACUCUGUUAUAUACUUUUCAGUAAGUCCCUAAUGAGAAGAGACCUGCUCCCAUCAGCAACACCUAAAACAAUUUCACAUCUUUAUGCUUUCAGAUGGUGAAAGUAAAUGAUAGUGGACAUUAAAAUCUAGAUGCUCAGCCAUUCACUACUUGAAGCUUCAGAAGAAGUAGCUGUAGCAGUACAGGGACCUUUUGGUGAUCAAAAUACAUUGCCACUUCACCACUCAUCAAUGGUAAAUGAAGAAGCUUGGGGUCUCAAGUUUUCUUGUAUUCUAUCCGUAACUAAUCCUAUCAGCUCUAUCUCCCUAUUAACAUGAAAGCAGCUAAAAAAUCAACUAGGACAAACACAUUAGCUAUAAAAACUAUCACAAAAUCAAUGUCAACCAAACACUAACAUUCAUCAAAUUUUCUUCCACAAACCUAAAAACCAAGCCACAUCGCAUCAAAUCAUCAACCGAAACACGAGCAAUUAACGCACCAGAGUCAACUGAUAUUACAUAACAAUAAAAGUCAGAGCCUUUCGGCAAUAAAAACAACACACACCAUAAAAGCAUCAUCAUUUGUUCUUCAAUAAUAACAACAAUUCCAUAAUAACAUAAACAUCGAUCAAAUGAAACCAGUUGAUAAUUACCGAAUUCACUAUCUUGAUUAUUAUAUACGCAAACCCAAAUCAAGAAAUUACCAAUCUCCCUCAUACCGAACCAGAUUUAACUUGCUCCGCCUCAGGAAUCUUGACAUACCCAAUUUUCUUCACAUCCUCCUCCUCAUCAUCACUAAAAUCUCCAUCAAAAUAAUGACUAUAUCGCGGCUGCGAAGGAGAAAAAAAAGACCAAACCAAGUACAUCGUAGCUGCAGUAAGAGCACCACAACCGACACCAAAAAGCAAAGCAACCACCACGCUAAGAAUAUCCUUAGUACGAUCACGCAACGAACUCAAAUCAUAACCACCAAAUCCAGGCCAAACCGACCCCACCUGGGAGGUUUCUUGAAAACCCUUCUUGUCAUGAAUUUCAUGGGAUUUCUCGUAAUUAUUGUUAGGGAUGAAAGGGAUGAAUCUGCGGUUAAAGAAGUUCGAGUGGAAGGCUGAAGUUGAGGUUUCUUCGAUUUCAGUUACGAUAAAGAAACCAGAAGAUGGGUUGUUAGGGUUAGGGUUAAGGGGUUUGAUGGACAAGGAAUAAGAAGAGAUGAAAAGCGUUUUGCAAGGUCUUGCUGAGCAUGAGAAGGAGAGGGAUGAAAGGAGGAUGAAGAGGGUGAGUAUGAGCUUUGAGGGUGCCAUCGAGGAGAAGGGGGCAGCCCGGAAGAGAGGAUUGGCUGACUUUUUUACUCUUGCUGGGAAGGAAGGUGAAGGAAAUGAGGAGAGAGGUGGUAUGCAAGGGAGGUUUUAUUUAUGUGAAGUAAGAAAAGAAUAAAUAAAUGUCAAGAGGAAAAAAAGGUUUCGAAAUUUAUUAUCCUAUUAUUUGUUUUUUAUAAUUGUAUUAGAUAAUGAGUUUAUGAUUAUUAUUAUUUUUAAUUUUAAUUUUGUGGGUUGUUGUAUUUAAAAGAAAUUUUCUUUUAAAAAGAUGUAUAUUUAAAUAACAUAAAAUACUAUAUUUAUAAGAAAGUUUAUAUCUAUAAAUAACAUAUAUCUUUUUAAAUUUGAAUAUGUGAUUGAAUUUAAGUAUUACAAGUUAUUUGGAUUGUAAUAUAAAAGGAUAAUUUUUAAAAAAAUAUUAUAAAUUUAGUAUGAGUCAUUUGUUUCUUUAACUAGAUUCAUGGCAUAUAUUUAUUCUUAAUAUAUAUAAAUUAAUUCAAGAAUGCUAUUUUAUUAUCGAAUAAGAGAAAUGAAGAAUAUGACUUUUUAGGUAUUAUUUAGGUGAAGGUAACCAGUUUUUUUUAUUAGAAAUUUUAUUUGCAAGAUGCUACCAUACUUAUAUGAAAUAAACAAAUUCACCAACUAACUUUUGAGGAAAAUAUUGCCUCCAACAUCUUCACCGAUAACAAAGAGCAUGACACAAACUAACUUUUAACGAAAAUAUGUUUUUUUUUCAUAAGAUAAGUUCAAGGAGAAAGUGUAUAAAGAUAAGAAGGCCAAAUCUAUUCUUAACCAUAUUGGUCAUAUGUUAUAAGAGAUAAGUGAUAAACUCAAAAGGAGGUUUAAUGUAUUAGUUCUGAAAUUAGUGAGGUUAUUGUUGUUAAUAUGAGGUAGUGAAAUUGAUUUGAGAAAUUUAUAGAUUUGUUAAAUGAAAGUAAAUUUUAAGGUUCCUAUUAUUUUGAUGGUUUAAUUGUGAAAUAUAUUUGGAUGUUGAUAUGUUUUAGAAAUUGUUAAUUGAACUUCAUAGGUUCUUGUUUGAUUUUAUGAAUUUAAAUAUUUAGGUUACGUGGGAAAAAAACAUUUUUGGAAUUUUUUUAUUUUGAUGUGAAAUUUGCAACUUGCAAUUGUCCAUAUAGAUCUCAAAAUAAAUAAAUUAAAUUUUAGUCAUAAAUAAAAUCAAAUGGUUUGCUGCAUGAGUUAUUAAGGUGUAUUUAGAAGUUUUAAAAUUUUGGAUAAUCUCUUGUAUAGAAAAGGUCAUGCUAAAUUUUUUAAGAAAAUAUAGUGAUGAUGUUAUUAAUUUUUAUCAAAUUUGUUUAGAUUAUGAAGAGAAUGUCAUUAGAGAGUAAUAUAAACAGGAGUGAUGCUAGUUUUUCUGACAGCACUUCUAAUGAGCAUGAGUCACUUUGUUCCCAACAUGAUAAGGCACCUCAGGCACAAGGAUCCUCUCUUGACACAGGCUCAUCGAGUGCGAGGAUGAAUCGUAAAAGGGAUGUCCCUUCUAAGUAGGAUGUAUAUAUUGGGAAGUAUAUUGCUUAGUGAAAGCCCUACUACAACAUGUAAGUUUGUUUUUCUUUCAUGCACAAUAAAAAAAAUAAACAACAAUGAAUAAAGUCUGAGUGACUAAUUUUAAUGAAAGAAUGGAAAUUCAGGUUUAUAAAUGUUGAGGCUGUUUGCACGAUAACAUCGGUGAUGAAGUUAUUGAUGGAAGUUCUUUUGUUUCAAUGAAAUCAGGUUUUCAAAAUUCUUGAAUGGAAACUAAUGAUUGAUGCUUGUUUCAAAAAGUUCAAGGUAAGUAUAUAUAUAAAUAUUUUUUUAAUAUUUAAUUCAGAUUUUUUUAAAAAUAUAUAAUUGUUUAAUAAAAUUGACGUGUAAGGAAAGGUUUUAUUGGGAGGAGGCUGACAACGACAUGGCUAGGAGAGUGUGGGAGAUCAUAGUGCCAUUAAAUGAGAUUGAAUUUAAAUUGUGAAGUUUUAUUUUUUAUAAUCUUAACCAAUACUUUUUUUCUAUGAAUCAGAUUGCGUGAUUUCUAGUAUAAGACCCAAAAAAGUCAAAGAAAUAUAUAAAAAAGAUAAAAGUCUUUUGGUUAGGAAGACAUGGUCGUAUAGAGGGAUUUCAGACCUUCACGCAUCUCAAAAGGUAUCUAGGAUGCUUCUAUCCAUCACGUGAUGUCUAAGCAUUUCUUGCAGUGGUUACAGUCUGGUUGAGAGAACCAAACCGAGGAGAUUCAUGGUUCUAUUACCACACACAUUGGCAGAUUCGUUAUAUUUGUUUCACAUGCAAAGUAGGUGGUAAGAUUUUAUUUUAUAUGAUAUUUUUUUUAAUUAUUGUAUUACAUGAAAAAUUUUAACUAACAAUAGUUUUCUUUUGUAGGUUAUGGUGUUUGAACGCAAUCCAAGACCGAUUAAGCUUUUUGUUGAAACCCACAUGCAAAAUGAGGACCGUCGGAAAGGGGUACAACAACUCGUGGAUAGUCAAGCUUAGAAGUUUUUGGGAAGUUGGAUUUCAACAUUUUUUUAAGUUAUUAUCUUUUUUAUAUAUUUGUGGUUUUUUUUAGAAAACAUAUAACACCUAAUUGCAUGAGAUAUAUAAAGAUAAUUAUUUAACCCAACUAGAACUCAAUCCUGAUUUCUAGUUAGAGGUUGGAUCUACCAAUGAACCCAAUACAAUCAUUUUCAUAGUAUCUCCAACACUACAGUCCAUGAUAUAUGGGCGGGCCAUAGUGUCUCAACCGAUAGUACCUCGUAAUCAAGAUUGAGCCAUCAAUAUUCAGUUAUCCAGACAAUUAUACAAGAACAGGCUCAAGUUGACACGGCCUAACUAGAGAUAAAUUGAAUGUCAUUGAGUAGUAAUUGGCAACCCUCAUUGGUACUUGUGCUCUCCCCGUCGCCUCUUGGUUCCAGUAAAGAUCCAUUUUCGUCUCCCCCUCCAGCUUUUGUCUACUAAAUAGUUAAAUUGUAUCUAAUAAUAUAUUUUUUAAUUUAAUAAUAAAAUAUGCUUUUUAAUCUUGGUAUUAUUUGUUUAAGUUAUUAUAUUUUUUAAAAAAUAAUUACAAAUAAUACUGAUAAAAUUACCGACGGAACAAGUUCCUCUAAGAGUUAGAAAAGAUUACAAGACUUGCCACUUUUAAAUUAAUUCUUUGAUGGAUUAAUUCCAUCGAUAAUAUGUAUAUAAUUAUUGAUGGAUUUACCAAAUGUUUAUUUUGUUGGUAAUAUGCCAUGGUCGCCCAUGAAUUUAUUAACGGAAUUAAUGUUGGUAAUUGUUUUACGUGCUAAUUCCAUCUGUAAAUCUAUAAGUGAUUUUAUUAUGGAUAGAUUGAUUGACAAAAUAAAAAUCAUUGAUGAUAUAUGUUUCGACAACAUGAUUAUGUUCGUUAUUUCAUUGAUAAUUUUAUUUUGAACUAAAUUAAUAGUUAAACACCGAUGAAAUAUUUAAUCAGUGAUCUUUAAUUUUCUGGUAGUGGUUUCAGUAAAUUCUUGUGAGGUUUUCACACCACCAUGACACCAAAUUGGGAGAUGCUUCACAAUUUUAGCCAUGUGCGAUUUAUGGGACAUUGUUUCUUUUAUUUAAUUUUUAAGCACAAACGUUGUAGGCAUAUAGUCUGGUGGAAUGGAAAUGGAACUGCAGAGAUGUAAAAUUAAUAGUAUAAAACUCUGAGAGUAAUUAGAAAGAGUUACAGUUAAAAUAUAAAUUAAUUAACUGUUAAAAAAAAUAUUUAUGAUAAAUUGGAAUCUUCAAACAACUUGGACAUGCACCCUGUUUAUAUUUUACCACUUAUCAUAAAUGUUUUAAAAAUAUAUAGAGAAAAAUGUUUGAAGUCGUUGUUGAUGAUCUAGGUGCUUUAGAUACUAUUCUUGGACAGCAUGCUUUAUUUUAUAGAUUUGUGCGUGUUUUUAUUUAGUUAAAUACAAAAUUAUCCUAAUUCCUACAUGACAAAUAAGGUUUGGUUUGGUUUGGUUUCCGUAACUAGAUUUUGUUUCAACCUCUGACAAAGACAGGACAAUUUAAAAGCUAUAUGUUGGGGUCUGCUCAAUUGACAAAUGAGUUUAUUUUGUGUAUGAACGUACAUCUCAUGUUCAAGUCUAAAAACGAGUAUAGGGAAUAGGAAAUUUAUCAUCACAUUAACGCAUUAAAAAAAACACUUAAAACAUCAAUUUAAUAUUUUUUAAUUAAUAAAAAGUGUAAAAACAUUUUGAGAAACAAGUUAAAAGAUGUCGACUUCAACAAUCCUCAAUAUCAGAGCUAAUUUUUAUUUUUAAUAUAUUUUUAAAAAGAUUUUAAUAAAAUACCAUAAUUAAAAAAAGAGAGUAAAAUAACACAAUUUAUUUAUGUUGUGAUUGAGAAACAUAAUUUUUAUUUAAAAUAAUAAUAUUUAUUAAAAAAAUAUUAAAGGUUUGUUUGUUUUGGUGUUUUAAAAUCGUUUUUAAAAAAACUUAAAAUAUUUUUAUUUUUUUUAUUAACUUUAAAUAAAUAUAUUUUUAAUAUUUUUAAUAUUUUUAAAUUAUUUUAAUACGUUAUAUCACAAAUAAUUAAACAAAAAAAAAGAAGAUGAAUUCACAGCAAGUAUUACCCACUUGGGUUCGCUUGUCUUCAUAAUAUUUUUAAUUAAUUGUACUAACUUUAAAAAAUAUAUAUUCUCAUGUCGGCCUGUUGCACGAGUACAAUAUAUGAUGAGGACAAGCUUGCGGGAACAUUCAAUCAAACGCUACAGGAAUAACUGCAAAUCAAUCCUAACAUGCAUAGUAAAUAACAAUUCAGUUCCUAAAUUUAUAACAUUUUGCUAAUUUUUCCAAAUCUGCAGUUGUUUCACUUUCAUCCUUGGAUCGAUUUCCGUUGACAAAUAAAAUCCUGGAAUCAGUUAAAAACCAUGAAAUAAGUUGAAUUUGUUAACAGAACUUCUAUAAAUGACUUCUGAAUCAUAAACUUGGAAAUAUAGUAUUAUAGAAUUUGUUAGAACAAGGAAAGCUUGGGGAGAAACUAGCGAGAUUCUGAAAGGUUGAGGACUGAUAUGCUAAUUAAUAUAUAACUUGGUGACUGAAGUGUAGUCUUACCGAAGCUAGAAAGGGAAAUUUAAAACCUGACUCAUUAAUUACUCUUCAUUAAUAUAGGAACACGUAAAGCUACGGAAGCAAAGCGAAAGCAAGUUAGCGUUCUUUCUCCACCCAUCUCUUUCUCUUUCUUUCUUUCUUUCUCUGUAAUCUCAAAGCAAAGGAGGAAACGAAGAGUAAAGGCAAAGGAAGAAAUGGGACUUCUUUCGAACAAGAUCGAUAGAGAGGUGUUAAAGCCAGGGGAUCAUAUCUACUCAUGGAGAAACGCUUACUUAUAUGCCCAUCACGGUCCGUCUCUCUAUUUAUCUUUGUUUUUUGCUUUUUCGUGUUGUGUUUGUGUAAAUGAUGUCUUGGCUUGUUUUUUGGCUGCCCUUUUUGUUUUCGGUAUUUUAGAUCAGUGUGGAUACCCUUUUGGAUUCAGGUUUGUGAAGCAAUUGAUGUUUUGGUGUGCUUUUAGGAUGCCCAUUUGAUUUCUCAUUGGUUUUUGACAUUUUGAGAGCAGGAUUAAUAGUCUGUGAAUGCAAAGGUGGGGGCUUUCUGAUUGAGUGAUGGGCAUAAAAUGGGUGGAUUUAGGCCUUUACGUGCAAUUGAGUUGGUGGGUAGCGAUUAUAACUUUGAAUUAACCAGACAUUAAUUUUUUACUGUUUUUGUGACGCCUUCUGUGUUGAUGUUACGUGCUGCUGGCUGUUACAGGAAACGAUUAUAACGUCUGUUAAUUAAUCAUAGUUUAUAAUGUCUGUUAAUUGAUCAUAGUUAGAUGCUUCUCUUUGGAGUUUUAUUGGAAGUGAUACAGAAAUUGGUGGGAGCGGCGAAGAUGUGGCAUGGAAACUUUAAUUUUAAAACUUGGGAUACAGUUAUGGGCUGAAUUAGUGUGAAAACCUUUGUGCAUAUAGUUCGAUUGUCUUGUAUAUUGUGACCAAUUUGCUUGCUCAAACCAACCAUUGUCUGGUUUGUGAGGUUGGUUUGGUGGUUUUUGGUAUGAUAAUUAAUGAGAAACUUUACUAGUUUGAAGAGGCUUUGUGUCUUUCGUUAGGGUUCAACCCUACUGGCCUGAUUUGCAUGUAUCUAGUGAAAUUUGUUUUGACAAGAGUAACUUGUUUUUUAUCCAUUCCUUUGCUCUCUUAUUCAAUGUUCCUUUAGGACUGGAUGCAUCUUUGACAUUUUCAACUACAUUAUAUGACUCUUGAAUUUGAUUGAAUUUACUGCUUUUUUGUUGUUUGUGCCUUUUUCAUGCCAUUGAAUGCUAGCAAAUGUAUGUUUUUUGUCCCACUGGAAUUUGGAUGUUAAUGAUAUUACCAAAGAAUACCCACGCACCAUAUAGAAUAUAAUCGUUAUAAUUUACAAGACUUUUGAGAGAUAAAAAUCAAAAUUGGCAUAGUAUCAAUAGAAUUUAAGUGUUAUGGAGUCAUGCUAUCCAAGGGCAAUGAUGUGGUUCUGCAGGUAGCUUUUACAUCUCAAAAUAAAUUAGCUCACGGGGAGGUGAUUUGAUCCAUGCAUAAGUAUCUUGUAACUGCUAAAGACGCCUCUCUGCCUUCCAUCAAUUGUUGUUGUGGUACAACUCCUCAAGGCCUUUUUCAGGUUGUUUAAUACAUGUAAUUUUUGUUAAAAUUUGUAGAGUUGUAAUCUUUUCCAUAUGUACUGAUGGAUAGUUCCCAUUUAUUUUCUGCUUUGUCAUGCUCUUUUCUCAACUUUUAAAUUUUGGCUCUAUGACUGUUUGUUACAUUGAGAGAGGGAGAGGGGGGGGCUUCUUCCAUUAACUUCUGUAGGAGGUCACGUGGAAGUCAAAGCUUAACUUCUGUUUCCUUUCCAGUUUUGGGGUUGCUAUAUUAAUGACUCUACUCAUUUCUUGCAUUUUAGAUUUUUCUUUCCAAUGACCAAAAUUGUCUUUAUUAAGUGUUUGAAUUCUGUGCUAUCUGAUUCUGGUUAUACACUCAAGAUGUAGCAUAUGCUCGUGUGCAUCUAGCUAUUAUUGUGCAAUUCUGAUUUAUGGAUAUGACAUUAGCAUUUUGAACUUGCUUUUCUAAUCAGUUUCUUAUAUGAAACUAGGCAUAUAUGUUGGUGAUGAAAAGGUGAUCCAUUUCACUCGGGGAGGGGGCCAAGAAAUUGGCACAGGAACUGUGUUAGACCGAUUUGUUUUCAGCUCAUCUCCUGCUCAUCCUUCAGAUAAUCCAUGCCCAAAAUGUGGUGAUCAAUCAAGGCUUGAUGGUGUCAUCUCGUCCUGCAUUGACUGUUUCCUCUCAGGUGGCGAUCUCUAUCUUUUUGAGUAUGAUGUCUCAGCAGCUCUCUUCCUUGCUAAACCUCGAGGUGGUACCUGCACCCUUGCCAAAUCUGACCCACCAGAAGACGUCCUUCACCGUGCUUCCUUCCUCUUGCAGAAUGGUUUUGGUGGAUACAACAUUUUCAAGAACAACUGUGAGGAUUUCGCAAUCUACUGUAAGACUGGUUUGCUUGUUAUUACUAGUAUUAGUGUUGGCCGAAGUGGGCAGGCCGCUUCCUUCUUAGCUGCUACUAGUGCUGUUGCUUCUUCACCACUUCGAUUUUUGACAGCCAGCUUUAGCGGCCUGGCAGUUGUGGGAUAUGGGAUGUAUUGUGCCAGCCGGCUAGUUUCUGAUAUCGGAGUACGUCGUGAUGUGUCCAAAAUCCCUGUUGAGCGGCUUAUUGCCAGUUCUAGCUGAAAUGAGUCAGAAGUUGUGGCUGCCCUGGCCAAGGAAAAUUAACCUUAUUUACCUACAAUAAUUGUGAGUGUGUGGAUUAAAAGAAAUGCUGUAUUGUGGUGGUUGCAACUCCAGCUGCUAAAACUCCCAUUUUCAGUGAUCUCCCAUCGGCCUAUUCAUUGAUGCCAUCGGGAAAUAUUGUGUAUUUCGAAAAUGUUUGUUAUUGGAGUGAAAUUGCUGAUUCAUGGACAAAUAUUUUUGUGUGUUACUAUUGGUAGCUUAAUUUGGUGUCUGCUCCUGCUAUGCUAUCCUCUGCAAGCUAUUUAAAUGCUUCAUGCAUCAAAAUAUAUACAAAUUUACUAAAGAAAGAUAUUCCUCGCAACCUCUAUCUUGUAUGGAUAGUCAAUGUUUGAGGGCUGGCUAUUGGACAGGACAGGCUCCCCCAUGUUUGCUUAUCAUUUAGUUAAUAGAUGUAGUUGCAUCUCAAAUAGAAGUGAUUGAAUGGGAAGUGGCAUUCUUCAUUUUUAAUUGAAAACACAUCUCCUAGUGCUCGUUGAAACGCAGGUGCGGUUGCACCUUUGUUUUCAAAUUAAAAUGUUCUUUUAGUUUUGAAAUGAAGUGAUGAUUCCUCCUUCAUUUGUAAAAUCAUGGAGAAACCCUAGUUUCAACACAUGCAAUAAAGACGUAAUGUUCAACUCAGAGCAGCUGAAGGCCUGAUUUGGCAAAUUUUAAUAGUUGCAGAGAGAGUGUUCCUGUGUUCAGGAUAUAUAUUUUGACAUUGUAAACUCCAUCACAAACUGGGAAAAAACCAGUUUUCUUGGUGCGGAGAAAACUAUUGUAAAAAACAGCCUAUAUAUAUAUCUCUUAAAAUUUGUUUUUACAAGAAUAACUUGGUUAUCAUCCAUACCCUUGCCUACAGGAAAAAUCUGUCAUUUUCAACUACACUGUAUGGUUGUUCCUUAAGUUUGAUAACAUUUCCUGCUGUUUCCAUGCCUUUGAAUGCUAGCAAAUGUAUGUUUUCUGUCCCUCUACAAUGCACAUCUUAAUCAUACAGUAAGAGGAUACAAACCAGCCGACCUUAUGAUCAUUUCCUAUUGCCUACUAGCAAAUAAUAAUAAUAAUAAUAGCUAUGACUUGAAAAUGAAGGUUUAAUACAAAGUUUUGAAGGAUCGAUACCCUUCCAAAAGGUCACCCGGCAGCGGCCAUAGAUAGACCGCCGCAUGCCAUGGUGACCCACUAUGAUUCAUUCUUUGAACCUGACUGGUUCACUUCCUGGUCAUGCUCAUGCCAAUCUUGUUAAUUGGAUCAUGAAAAGGUGCCUAACUAAAGACCAGUUUAAUAUUAGACUCUUCACAUGGGCAAGAAAUUAAUCAAUUUGGGUUCAUCUUAAAAGGAAAACCCUUAGAAAACAAAUGAUAAAGGUCGCAUAUGAAUAGAAUAUGCCAAUUAAUGAUUUUAUUGACGAGUUAACUUAAGCUAAUUUAAAACAGUGUUGUUUUAAAAAAAUUAAAAACAUUAAAACAACAUUAUACUUAAAAAGUGCUUCCAAUUAAAAUUGGUGAGUAUCCAAAAUAAUUAAAAAAAAAUCUAGUAAACUCUUGGUACUUAAAUACCAGUUUUCUUGUAGGUCUAGCAUUUAUACUAGAAUAUUGACCAUUAAUUUUUAGGAAUUUAAGUUUUUAGAAUUAUUGAAAUAUUGGUCAAAUCCUUUUAAGGAAUUUUACAAAUUUAAUGUAAAUUCAAAUAAACCAAUAAAAAAAUUUUAAAACAAUGCUAAAAACAUUUUUCUCUCUUUUUUUUAAAAUGCAAUUUUUGUGAGGAUUGAAUUGUAUGCAACAAGCGAAAAAAAUCACCUUUUUACAUGACUGAAUUGACCUGGAAUUUUUUAUUCGAUCAUAUACCGAACUAAAAUCUACUAGUUUGACUCGAAAAACAAAACCUAAACUAGAAUCCAAAACGAAUCAAACUAAAAAAAACAUAAAAUAUCAAAAACUCUUUAUCAAAACCCAGGAAAAAAAAAGAACAUGAAGAACAUCGAAAAACAUUCAAAAAACCAACAACAUGAAUUUCAAAUCGGACUAGAUAUGGAUAAACAAAGUACACAAACAUGUUGAAAAUCAUGUGGUGAUCAAUAAUCUAGUAUUUAUACACUUUGAUUAUCACUCAAAAACCAUAAUUUUGUCGAAAUGAGUUUCGGUUCAAAACUAAAACUCAAUGAUUAAAACCUAUUGAAAACAUGUUAAUGAUGAAAAUAAACCCUAGAUUAUUAACUAAUCAAGUUGCCCAAAGGAUUCUGUACAAAGAAUUAAACCAAGACUGGUCUAAAUCAGAGGGCUAAGGCAAUGUUCUUUUCAAAAACAUAAAAAACAUUGCCCAACAAACCUAAAAAAUAGCUUUUUAUGCCUCUAAAACAUGUUUCCUUUGUUCCAACAAACCAUAUUAUCACAACCAAACAUAUUUAAAUAAAAACAACUAACAAACAACGUCAGAUCAUCAAAAUAAUCCAAAAGAUACCAAAUCCAAAAACUAUCAACUUAAAACAACCAACUUGUUUAUUCAAUAAGGAUUCAAAAUUGGUUUUUUAAAUUUAUUUUGGUCAUGAACAUGCCUUGCAAAUAUAGGAUAAACAUCAUCAUCAUUGUUUAAGUUAAACUAAAACAACACUAUUUUAUCGAGAAGAAACAACUUAAAUAGAAGACUUUUACUACAUCAAAAACAUAAUAAAAAAAAUCUUUAGAAAACAAAUUAAACUAUCAUAGUAACAAAAAGGACAACCACAACACUACUUGUCAAGCAUUCCAAACUCCAUUUCCAUGUUUGUAAACAUAAUUAUAGACCAAAUAACAAUAAUAAUAAUAAAAAAAAACAACUCACGCAGGCUACUCAGACUCCACUUUUAGGUUGGAAAGUAAUACAUUUAAGCUCCUAAAAUAGCUAUUACUCUCUUUACUUUCUUUUGUCAAGUCUUGCUUCCAUAAGUUUUUUUUUUUUUUGUGCACAGAGUUAUUAUUUUCCUAAAGGGUUCAAGUUGCAUAAAAUUAUUUGAAUUAAAUCUCCAAUUUGAGGAAGGUAGCACAUAAAUAAUUAUUAAAGUUGAAAAAACUCUGCGCGUAUCUCUUGGCCACUCCUAGCAUGCACCUGCUACUGUGCUACAAGAUUGCUGCCAGCUUUUAGCCAGCAAUUUAAAUAUCACGUGGGCCUCACGAUUAUCUGCUAUUAAGUAAAUCCUGAUCAUUAAUCAGUAUACACGGGUGACUGACCAAAUCUUUUGAGCAAAUCUAACGGUUCUGAUCUGCUUAACAGCCAUCGUCUUGUCAGGUUUAGAGAAUGGCCAGCAGUUUAAAGAAUGUGUAAUGGUUAUUUUUUAAAUAAUUUUUUAUAUUAAAAUGUAUAUUAAUAAUGUGUUUUAUUUUAAAAAUUAUUUUUAAUAUUAAAACGGUUCAAAACAUAUAAAUUAUAUUAAAAUUUAAUUAAAAAAAAUUAAAUUUUAUAGAAACACGGUUUUUACUAUCUUCCUAGACGCUCUCUUAAUUUUCUCGGAGAUGCGGCACCGCAGUUUGGAAGACAAACCUCUUACCGUUACAGGCUGCAAACGGUCAACUAAAGGGAUUCAGUCUCUUUUCUUACCUUAUAGUUUGAAAGUAUAAGUUUUAAAAAAAUUAUAAAUUAUAAUAUUUUUUUAAUCAAGAUUUCAAUAGAUUUUUUAGUGAGACAUUUUUCAAUUUAUGAUUGAAAUAAAAUACAAACCUUAUCAAAAAAAUAAAAUUCAUGUGAAUUUAAAUAAUUCUAUUGAAUAAUAACUUUGUAUUAUAAUUUCUUUUUAAUAAUCUUUUUCAGCAUUUUAGCUUGAUAGUAUAUAAGAUAAAAACUAAUAAAUUUAUCACUCUUGUUAAAACUACAUCAUAAGAUUUUACAAGAGAGAUGUGAUUCACGUUAUUAUCAAUUUAGAAGGAUAGCAAUGUUAAAAAAAUGUUAAAAAUGAAUAAAUCCGCCAAAAUCACUUUUGAUUAACCAAAACAGUUAUAGAAGAAAAAGAUUACAAGCAUUAAAUUAUAAAGAAAUUUAUUCUCAGCAUGAGGAUAUCAUCCUAUAUUCUAAAAAAACAAAUAAACAGAUUAUGCUAGCAAAUGGUUAAAAUCAAUGGUAAAUAUUCAAAAUACAAGAAAUUCUAGAGAUGUCACUUUUUGUGAUUAAGAUGGGUUUGGCAAUGCAGUUUAAAUCAUUUUUUAAAGUAUUUUUUAUUUAAAAAAUAUUAAAUUAAUAUUUUUUAAGCACUUACCAAUUAUUUUAAUGUGGUGGUAUUCAAAAUAAAAAAUAUAUCUUGAUGCAUUUUAAAUUAAAAAAAACUUUUAAAAAACAUAUUGUACCGCAUUACUAAACUUACAUCUUGAGAGAGAUGUAGUUAAGAAUACUGGAAUGAAUGUGUUGUUUUAAAACUCAAAUUAUUAGCUUAAUAGUUGAUAGCUUUGAUCAAUCCGAAUUGAAAAAAACAAGAAAAACAACAUGGCUGACUAGUCAAUAACUCAAGUUGACUCGAUGACUCGUGCAUAUCUUGACCAUCAUUCAAUUAUCUUGUUUUUUAUUUUUGAAAAAACAUUUUGGCCAAAAUAAUGUCGUUUUAAAUUAAAAAAAAAAACAAAUUAAGAUUAACCAAAAUUGACCCUUGUGGUCUAUGACUUAAACUUUAUCCCAAGUCAAGUCAUGUUAGGUUUUAAAACAAUUUUUAAAUAAGCUUGAAGUUUUAUGAUAUGCUAAUUGUUGGUGUUGUUUGUAAGACAAUAAAAAAAUAAAAUAUUUUUGUCCCAUAUAAAAAAGAAACAUUCAUUCUCGGGUCUUUAUAAAUGUGAGUUUUUAUUAUCUAAAAAAAUAAAUAAAAGUUAUAAUAGAUGAGCUCUUCUAAUGAGCUUUUUAAUGUUAUUAUAUAAAUAUUUACAAUAUAAAAAAGAUGUCACUUAAUACUUGAAACUCAAUUUGUUGAUGAGAUUGAUUAUUUAGUGAGUUAAUUUCUUUUAAUUUUCACGAUUAACUUUGAUAUUCGUGACUAUUAAGAUAAAAAUAAAUAAUAAUUAUUUAGUUUAUAUAAUUGUUAUAUUAACAAUCAUAUAAUUUCAUUAAAUUAUUUAAAAUCUAUAUAAACAUAUUACGAAGGCAUAACUAUGCAAAGCAAAGACAAAUCAUAUAUUAAAAACAACAUAUUUUCUUUUCUUUAUCUGUUUUUUAGAAAUCUGUAUAGUUUACUGGUGUUAUCCCUGCAUGACACUUUUAAACCAAUUAAUUUUAUUUUUUAUUUAUUUCCAUACUCAAAUAGUCAACUAUCACCGAAGCUAGUUGAACUGGAAACGGCAGCACCUGUCUGAAUCACACUAUCAGAUAACAUCUAAAGGAGUUUUUAUUUCCACGUGUGUCUCUUCGAUUUUAUUUUUAUAUAUAUAAAUAUUUUAGCUUUAGGCUCUUGACAAUCCAUUCUUAAAAAUAAAAUAAAAAAUAAAAAAUCUUGCAAUAUUGUGUUCCGGAUACACCCCCUCCCCUCGUUUUGAUUGCCUUGAAAGAUAUGAUUUUAAAUAUUUUAAAUAGCAUGUCAUCUAAGUUAAUACAUGACCUGUCAAGGCUCUAUUUUCUUAAGAUUUUUUCCUAAUAAUCUCACAUUUUAAUGCUAUUCACUCAAACACCAUCCUUUUUGUUCAAAGUCUCCCCCCCCUCCUUCUUUUUUUUUUUUUUUAAAACACAAAGUUAUAAUUUUAGAUACCAUUUGAGAACACAGUGCAAAUUGUGUUCCACAAAAAUUCAAAUUUUUUUAUAAAAAAUAAUUUUUUAUAUGUUUUAAAUGAUUUUAAUGUGCUGAUUUUAAAAAUAAUUUUUAAAAAAUAAAAAAAAAUUAAUUUAAUACAUUUCAACAUGAAAAAUACUUUAAAAAAACAAUCAUAAUCAUACUUCCAAAUAAAUAAGUAGUAUUUCGUAAUCUUAUAAAUCUUUCUAGCUAACUAGAGAUCUAUCACAAAUUAUUCUACCUAAAAUAGAAAGCGUUUAAUAUGCUCCAAAUCAAUAUUAUUAAAUUUAGGGAUCUGGUCCAUCCACAAUCUUGUUCUGUUCAAAUUUAAAAAAACUUGGAAUUAAUUCAAUCAUGCCUAAACAAUCCAAAUAAUUUAGCCAAAAUCUUACUUGCAUUUUUUUAAAAGCAAAAAUCUCAAAACAAUGCUAUUUAUUUUUUUAUUAGAAAAUUAAAAUUUUAUUAUUUUUUUUAAUUAAUUUAAAUUUACUAGGAUUAAUUCAUCUAGAUCCUAUGUCUAAUUCUUAAACCAAGUCCGGAAACAUGCCGGUUUAAUAACUUUGCAAAAAAAAAAAAAAAUCCGGUUUGAGGAAGGUAGCACGAAGUUAUUAAAGUUGAAAAGCUCUGCCCGUAUCUCUUGGCCACUCCUGAUAUGUAACUGCUCCAAGAUUGUUUCCAGCUUUUAGCCGUCACGUUAGCUAACUAUUAUUUAAAUCCUGACCAUUAAUCACUGCACACGUGUGAGUGACCAGAUCUUUUGAGUAAAUCUAACGGUUCUGAUCCGCUUAGCAGCCCUUGUCAAGUUUGAGAAAGGCCAAAAGUCGUUUUUCUCUUUUAUUGGUGAUGCGCGGCCCACAAUUUCGAAGACAAACCUCUAGAGAUGCAAAUGAAGAGGCAUAGUAUAGAUGCUUUUUAUUUCUAUAUCGUAGGUAUUUUAACAGGAGAGGCAAAGCAAUAGUUAAAAUAGCUUUUUGCUUUGUCAAGAGCCAUUUUUAUAUUUAAUUGUAGAAAUGAUUAAAAUGGCCAACGGCUAUCAACAGUUUUUUUUUUUUUUUUUUAAACAUAGAAAAUUUUGUCUAUAAAUACAUGAAAAAAAACUUGUAGUUUUAAAUUUUUGUAUUGUGCCUCACCCUUCUCUCAAAUUUUAAAAAAUAAGAAUCGAUUAUUCUCCGGUUAAUUAUUAACAUCGGUUGUGUUAAUUAGCUGAAAUUAAAAGGUAUGCUUGUUUAAAAGUUUUUUCUAUUUUCGUUUUAAUAUCUCUUGAUUUUUUAGAACUUUUUUUUGUUAAUUUAAUAUUUGUGAUGAGUUUUAUUUCUUUAUUAUUUUAUAUUUUUAAUAUGGGUUAAGUAAGACAAUUUUUAUUUAUGUUGUUAUCUUUGAUAAAAUUGAGAGAAAUUAAUAAUGGUAGUUGAUAUUGAUAAAAAGAUAGAGUUGCAUAUUUAAAAUUUAUUUUUGAUUGUCUGUUUUAAUUUGAGGUCAAUUAUAUUUUUUCUUGAAAAUACAAUUAAACCAGUAUAUUGAUUCUCUUUUAGUUUCAAAAAAUGGUCAAAUUGUUAUGUUAGAACAAGUAGAAAGCAAUGCUUAUUAUUAAUUCGCAUGUAUGAAAACUACAAAAUUGUUAAACAUUAAAUGUGAGCUUCUUGUUAUGAAAUUGAUAUCAAUUUGUAAUACUUUUAUAAGUUUGAAUUUGACUUUUAAAAAAUUAAAUUUUUAACAAUAACAUAUAAAACUUAAAAUUAAAAAUAUUCAUAUAAAUAAAUUUUAAAUUUAAUUUUAAAUUAUAUUUUUUAACUUUUAUAUUACUUCAUUAAUUUUAUAUUAAUUUUAUAAAUUACUCAUAUUAAUUAUAUAAUUAAUAACAUCAUAAUUAUAUUAUAUAUAAAAUAUCUAAAUUAGUUAUAUAAUUAUAUUAAAAUUAAUUUAACAUGAAAUAUAUUAAAAUAUAAAUGGCUUUUCUAAAUAGCUUUUUACCAUUGGAAUGCAUAUAAUACAAAAAGCUAUAUUUACACUAUUCAAAAAGCUAUUUUCUUCAUUUGGCUCUUCAAAAUGGCAUUUCUCAUUGGAGAUGCUCUUAGGAAGUUACUCCAAGACCCCCGGCACUUUUUAAAUUUUCUUGAAUAUAUUUAUUAUUUAAAAAGUUUAUCCAUAAAAAAUAUUUUAUAAUAAAAAAAUUAGGUUGGUUUAUAUAUAUAUAUAUAUAUAUAUAUAUAUAUUAAAAAACACAUCUUAGAAAUUGUGAAAAAUUAUGCCUCUCAUAUUAUUUGUUGAUUAUAUUAGAUUUUAUCCUCAAACUUUUAAUUACUAUAUAUUUUAUUUAAAUAUUUUUUUUCAAUUUCAUUCAUUGAAAUUUGAUUUUUAUACAUUUGGUUCUUAUUUUUAUGAUUUUUAUUUGCUUUUCUCUUAUUAUUUUCUUAAUUGAAAUUUUUUUUAUCUAUCAGAUUCAAUUCUUGUUCUUUUGAUUUAUAUUUAUUUUAUUUGAAAUAAUUUAUGAAAUUAUAAUAAUUAUUUUUUUAUUUCAUCAUCUUUGAAAUUUUUUAUUCAUUAGAUUUGAUCUCUAUUAUUUUGAUUAAUAUUUAUUUUAUUUGAGAUAAUUUGAAAUUAUAUUUUCUUUCAAUUUCAUUAUCAUUCAACUUUUUAAUUUGUAAGAUUUGUUUCUUAUUAUUUUAAUAAACUUAAAAAAAUUAUUAGUAAAUUAUUUUUGUGCUUAUUUUCUAUAACAUAUUCAAACACUGAAGAAUAUUUUUCAACUUAUUUUUCAUGAUACUACCAAAUGUAAAAAAAAAAAAAAAUCACUUUCUAGGAAUUCAUUUGCCAAUAAAACGACCUUCCAAAUUAAAAUUACUUUUUAGCAAACAAACAUGGCCUAAGUGUCUUGAUGUUUUUUUACUUAGGGGUACUUAAUUAAGAGUGCAGUAAUAUUUAUUUUUUAAAGUAUUUUUUAUUUGAAAAUAUAUCAAAAUAAUAUUUUUUAUUAUUUUUUAUAUCAAUACGUUAAAACGAUAUGAAAAAACAAAAGAAUUUAAUUGGAACCAAAAAAAAAAUUAAAAAAAUAUUUUUUUAAAGAACACUUUUAAAAUAAAAAAAUAAACUUACUAUUAAUAUAAACUCAAGCUAUAACAAAAAAAAAAAAUGGUUCGAGUGAGUUAAAAUAAUUAUAUUGACUGCUACCGGAUCCAUUACUUGAACUCAUUGAUAAAGUGCUGGCUUGUUUAUAAAAAAAAUAAAACAUGAACAAAGAAAAGUCUAAGUUUAUAUUUAAUGUAAAAUGCUACGAGAGCACGACGCGUGUCUCUAUUGAUCUAUAAUUAUUUAUAUAAUUUAGAAGUUAAUACCAGUAUAAUAAGUUAUUUAUAAACGGUAUUAAUAUAUGUGUGGCUUUACUUGUUUGAAGAAAAAAAAACCUUUUAUAAGAGUUUUUUCAUUUACCAUAUUAAAUUAUUUUUUUACUAGGAUUUAUACGGAUAAUAUAUGAUUAAAUUAGUGUAUUCCUUCAAAUCUUAUUUCUUGUGAUAUUUUUUAAAAAGAAAUAAUUGCUUGUCAAGAAACUAAUAAUUUUUAUCAAGAAACUAAUAGUAUUAUUUAGAAAACUAACGUACAUGCUUGAUGAUCACUUCGCAUCGGCAAAAAUAUCAAACAAGAAUAAAUUCACACAAAGCAUGAGAAAAAAGCCACACCCAUUCAUUUAUAGAGAAUUUAUUCUAUCAUCCUAUAUUAAAAUAAUAAUAAUAAUAAACUGAAUAUGCUAGCAAAUGGUGAAAGAUUCAAAUUACAAGAAUAUACUUGAACGAGCUUGAAGUUUUACGACCGGUCUUUUAAGCCUGGAGGGCCUCGUCUUCGACGUGUAAAGGACAAGGUUACGUAGCAGAAAAUAUUUUUUUGAUUUUUUUUUUUAAUUAUUAUUAAUAUAGAUAUUCAGAUCAAUUUGCAUGUACCUUAACUAAUCUCACGAGCUUUGAAGUUAACGACCAUGUAAAUCUUCAGCGACUGAGAUUUGUUAGACUCUCAAACUAAUGAUUUUUAAAAACAAAUCUAAAACCUGAUCAAUUGAGUUAUAUAUUCAGAAUUAAUGGUGCUGGAUUGGAACAAAAAACGUUGGUGAUGCAACGAGAAAAAAACUAGACACUUGAAACUUUUCAAUUAUAUAUCAUAGAUCCAAUAAUUUAUUCAAACGAGAGAGAAUGACAUGUUUAAAAUCAUGAUUCAAAUUUGCCAAGGAUAUGUAAAAAAUGGAGAUUCAUGCUACAUGGAAGAAUUUUAAUAUAAAGACUUUUUUAUUAUUUUAUUCUAUUUUAUUUAUUUAAUUUUAAAUAAAUAUUUUUAAUUUGAAUUUUUUCUAGUGCAUUAGACAUUGUUUAGAGGUUUAUUUCACUAUUAAAUUUAUGUUAGUUAAUUUUAAUUUAAACUUAUUAGCUUGCAAUUCAAAAUGCGUCUAUCAAAACUUAUUGGGAUGGGACCAACCAGGUUGUUACUAGAUUUAUGUGUGCUUCAUAUCUUUCAGUGAUUCUCCUGUAUAGAGAAAUUUUGUUUUGAGACUUUUUAUUUCUCUAUGUCAUUGAUUUAUUGAUUCAUAUUAUCUAUCUCUUUCAUUUUAUUUAGACCACUCGUUGAUUAUAAUAUUGUUGACUUAUUUUAUCAUAUUUUAAUGUGAAUUAAUUUCUUGGCUAGAAUUAUUAAUAUAUAAUUAAUUUAAAAAAUUACUUAUGAUUUUACGAUUUUCUGAUCCGAGUUUGUAUUUUUUGUAUCAUAUCAAAAAAGCAUUUUUGAUAACCUUGAAAUGAAGCAUGUUUUUCAUCAUUGAUAUCAUGGAUGUAUUUUUACUAACCAAUCAUCUUGUAUUUUUUUUUUAUCUUAAUUCAAUAUUAAGUAUCUUGAUUAAUAUAUUCAUGAUCUUCUUCUAGUAAUUUUCUUACGAAAUCAAUAUAAAAAUGAUAGUAAUAAUAAUAAUAUAAGAUAUUGUUAAUAUGUAAUAAUAUCUUAUAUUAUAGGUAAAGUUUCUAUCAAAUAUGUAUGUAUAAAAUUGAAAUAAAUUGUUGUUUUUUAUAUAGAUAAGAUUUUUUUUAUUAUUAUUUCUUUCAAUGAGAGUUUUAUACCUUUAAACAUGAAAGAUUUUAAGAUUUUAUUUUCAUUGUUCGGAAGGGAUUCCCAUCCAUUAACACUGGUUCUAACUUUGGUUUUCUUGCUAUUGCCAAGUUAUUCAUGGGUAUUUUGGUCUUUUAUCAUGAUUUAAUUAUUAAUUAAAUUGAGAAUGUUGUUGAUGAACGCCCAAGUGAACCGUCAACAUGUGUGUCGCUCGCACAUUUUAAAAGGUAAAUGCAAUGUGUACCUUUUUAUAAAAAAACCAUCUUACCAUGCCAUUAAAAGGGUCAUUGUGUUUUUGAAGUGAUUUGUUGCAAGCAUAUUUUUUUUUCUCUCUUUUCACUGAAAAAUUACAGGUUAGUUUUUUUUGUUGUUAAUAUUUCAACUUCAUUUAUGAUUAUUUUGAUUUAUAAUAUUUGCUAUUGGCCUUUUUAUAAAAGUUUAAUUUGUUUUUCCCUCAAUUUUAAUUUAUAUAUAUUAUUUUUUCAAAGUUGAUCUUUAUUUUUUAUUUUUUUUCUUUAGUUAUUUUGUAAGAGUUUUAUUAGUUUUUAAUUUUAAUUUUCAAUACACGAUUGUGCCUAUGACCUAAAACAUGAAGUAUCAUUUCUUUUUAAAAUACACUUGUGACACUUAAUAUUAUUUUUUUAUAUAUAAAAAUAAUUUAACCACGUGGUGAAGCAUGGACACGGGGGGGCUAGUAUAUACCUACAUAUGUGUGAUCAAUUUCGAAAAAAAGAAAAAGAAGAAGGAAUAACAUUGGGUUUGGGUGGGGGUGGGGGGUUUCAAAAGGGACCGAUGAUCUAAUUAACAAAUGAUUUGGAUAUAGCAUGAAUGUGAUCAAGACAUUGUACAAGAACUGGUCCCUGCUGUGAGCCGAAAAGUGUCACCGACGAACACGGACUUGAUUCAUUUUGCACGUCCAAAUAAUUCCAUCCACAAAUUUCACACUGCCAUAGCUUGCAGAUAGAUACAUUGAUGCACCCUCCCAACCUGAAACGCCUACUAUAAAUAAAUAAAUAAAUAAAUAAAACUCUUGAAGGCUUUUAAUAUAUCGGUUAAUAUUGAAUCUUAUAUAGUAUUUAAUUACUGUUUUGAGACACAAAAAAUAUAAAUAAUAAAGACAUAAACGACAUCUAUAUUUUUUCGAUGGUGGAAUUGAGGAUGCAUCAACGAUCCAUCUAUUAUACAUGAGAUGCUACCUCGUGGUCCAAAAAAAGGUUUUGGUAUAUAGUUUUGUCAUAAAAUUAUAUCCCAUGUUGCAUCAUCAAGAGAUCAUCAUGACCAAGUUACAAUGAAAAUACCUAUAAAUAAUUAAAACAAAAAAAAGGGCCGUCGAGGAUCAAAGUCCAUGCUCUCACUCCUUGCCAUGUACAAUACAUUAUGUGGGUUUAUUCUUGGGGCAUCUUAUCAUAUGCUAAUUAAUAUUAAAAUCAUUUGCGAUGGAACAACCUAUCGAUUGCGUUUUCCAUGUGCAAAUGUUGAAUCUUUGCAUUGAAACCUAUUGCAUGUUGACUGUAGCAUUUUGAUCUUCUAACACAAGCAAGCAGCUUCGCAUUGAAAAGAAAACAAAAAUACAGUGUUUAGAAAUUGCAGUUGAAAUUGUAUUUUUUAGAAAAUUAAAGUUUUAGUUUUGUUUAAACUUUUUUAUAUAUAAUUUUAAAUUAUUUUAAUAUGUUGAUAUUAAAAAUAAAAUUUUUAAAAAUAAAAAAAAUAUUAUUUUAAUAUAUUUCCAAACAAAAAAAUAUUUUCAACGAUAAUCAACAACAAACCCUAGAUAGUUGCAAACUACCAAACACUAAGAAAGCAAAAAAAAAAAAAAAAAAGAUAUUUAUCCUUCAUGAUAUCGAUACGGGCAAGUGGGAAUGCAAUUUGGACAAACCCUAGAUAGUCACCAUCUAGCUAGAUUGUAGAACGCAAGCAAACCCAUAAUUAACCAGGCAUAAGUUCAGCAUUAAACGAUGUAACCGUCACAAUUUUCUCUGUUGUUUUACCAGUAACCGACAGCAAUUAAUUCUCAAUUAAAACUAAAUCUUGUCUUCUUGUAACCUCAUUGAAUAUUCGAUAGUUUUUUUUUUUAUAUAUAGAAAUAUGGAGGGAAGGUGGGAUUUACAUCAAAUAGGAGGAUUUUUGUAAUUAUCUCAUAAAGCUACAACAAGAAAUUUGAGUAAUUCAAAUGUUUUUUUUUAUAUCGUGUUCAGUUAAUGUUUUAGGGCAGAUAUAACAUGUAUAAAAAAAAUAAAAACGUGUUUGAUUAAAAAAAUAAAAAUAAAAACAUCAAAUAAAUUUAUUUAUAGAAUAGCUUUGAAGUAAGUUUUUAUACUUUUCAAAUAAAAAAUAUAAAAAGAUAUAUUUCUUUUAUUUUUAUUGUCGUUGUCUUCUAUGUUCCAAAAUAGCAAUCAGAUACAAUGUAUAUUAUUAUUGUUUCAAAUCAAAAAUCAAAUUAUACAAAAAACCCAUUAAUACAUGCAUGCAUGUAUGAUAAUUAAUCUAAAAUCUCAUUGGAAAAAUAUUUAAUUUCAUAUAUAAAAGUUGAUCUAGAAAUUACUGAAAAUGGUUCUGAAAAUACUUUCACCAAACUUUUUUUUUUUUUUUAAAUAGAGAAACUUAGCAUGUGCAUGUAUCUUGAGUAGUUUUGAAAGGAUGUUUUUUAUUUAUUUGAAGGAAAAUGUUUUUGCUUCUAGGAAGCGAGAAAAAUAAAUAAUAAGAUGACAGGAGUUGGUAAAUUACCAGUCAAACCUCGAAAAGAGAAGAAAAUCUAACAGACAAGUUUUGCGGGGGCGGGGCGUGGAUUUCGUGUGGCAUCGAUAGCGUGUGCGCGUUCACAUAAGUAGAAGCGCGUAGCCUCAUCAAACCAACCCCUUACACUUAAAAAAUAUCACUCCUCGUCGGCGCUCGUGGAUUCCUAUUGUGAACCGGUUAUCACCGGUUAAGCUUCCGGUACUCCUUAACCAAACAAUGGCCCCACAAAUAUUGUUCCCAGUUUCCAUGAUCAGACCAGUUUAGUUGUCAAACUUCGUUGAAAAUCGUCUCGAAAAGAUAUUUGAAUUAUUAAAAUCAACUUCCAUAUUACUGAAACUAUUUGAAGACAGACUUUUAGGUCGUGUUUUACAUGUUAAUCAAGUUUAAGUUUAAUAAGAUUAAUGUUUUUUUUAUUAUUAAAUUUUAAACUUGAUAUAUAUUAAAUUCUGAAUUUCUAAUUUUUCAUAUCAUUUUUUUUUUACCGAGUUUAACAAUCAUGACUUUUAUUCAUCAAUAUUAAAUCUUCCUUGACAUAAUGUGAUAUUCGAUUUAAUAUAUUUAUAAUAAUUUUUUAAUUAAAUUUUAAACAAAAUCAUUAUACUCAAAUUAAUAUAUAUUUGAUAUUAUAAUAAUAGUUGCGGUUGCCAUUUGAGAAUAUAAAUUUUUUAAAAAAAUUAUAAACAACAAUUUCUUUCUCGUAAUCAAAUAUUCAAGAGAGAGUUAUAGCGCAGGUGUGAAUUAACCAAACACUUUCAAAAUUGCAACUUUAACAAAAACACAGCUUCAAUCGUAUCACAUGGCUAGCACAAAUGUGAACAAUAUGAACAGAAAAUUAAGUCAUUCGUCACAUGAACCAAAUUGAAAAACACAAAACCUACGAACAACAUGAGUUAGGAGUGAUUCGUUUUCUGUUAGGCAGUCUCCACCAACUCAUAACAGUACAGACGACGGCUACGUUAGUUUCUAGUUCAAGCAAGGUGUGUCUGAAAUGACCCAGUUGUGGUUUUUUUUAUGAGAUUAGUUGUGUUUUUAGGUCGUCGUGGUGGGUGCGGGUCAUGGGAAGCGUUUUUUACGUGCAUUGAUACGCUUUGCAAGUUGUAGUUAGAUAGAGUUUAAUUAGGGUUUCUCUCUGUUGUUUCCAGAAAACAAUAGGAAACAAACGAAGGGUUCGGUUGUGCUCACAUGUAAGUUAUCGUCCGUCUAAAAGUGUUUUGCAAGCUUCAACAUUGAUGGGAUCAUGCAUGGCAAUUUAAAAAAUUCAAUAAAUUACGUGAUCUUCUGUGUUUUAUGUCCAUCCCAUUGCAUUUAAAACAAAUAAAAACCAUAUAUUAUGUGUUAUGAUUAAAUGCUAACAUUAUUACUGUGUUGAUAAAUUACUUAUUAACUCAUCGAGUAAUUAUUAUAUAAUUAAUUUGAAUCGAGUUAUUUUUAUUUUCUAUAAAAAAAUUUAUUUUUUAAUUAUUUUAAAAAGAAUAAAUAUAACUUUCUUGCUUACCAAAUUUAUAUUUUGCUAGUAAUGUUCAUAUUAAUAAUGAUAAAUAAAGAAAAUUCUCAUAUUUUGCAACCCAAAAUCUACAUGGAAUGUACUCAUUUGACUGCAACAAGAACAUGUAGUGCAAGGAAAAUAUUGCUUGCCUUUGGAGUUUAACCGUGUUUUUUUAAAAAAAAAAAUUAAAAGUUUUAAAUUAAUAUUUUUUAUUGUUUUUAAUUUUUUUAAAAAUAACAAUUUAAAAAGCAACUUUUACGAUAGUAUAUAGAACAAGAGUUGGGCAAGGCAAACUGUAUGAACAGGUGGCAAAUCUGGUUUGUGAUGCGAACGCGUGUACAGAAUGAGAGGCUAGGAUUCUAUUUCAAGAAAAGAGAUUAUAAGAAAAAGGUUGUAGUUUUCUAGUUUGCUAAGGUUUGCCCACACGCAACCCAUAAUGAAAUGUCAAAAUUCAACUUUACCACUGACUUGGUUUUAGUGCGAGAAUGCUUGUUUUUCACAUCGUUUUGCGCAUGCCAUGAACGCCCUUCUUGAAGAAUUAAAAAGGAUAAAUGUAUUUUUAUCUAAUCGGUUUAGCUUAUUAAAUUAAAAUAGUUUUUAAAUUAAAUUGAUUAUAUAAGAUUUUUAUUAAUACGAAUAAUUAAUUUAAUAAAUUUUAAAAUUAACAAUCAUAUAAACUUUCAAUGGUUAUGAACGUUUUUUAUAAAUUUUUUAAAAAAUUAUUUUUAUUUAAUCGGUUUAAACUCGUUGAAUUAAAUUAGAUUUUAAAUCAAAUUAAUUAUAAAUUUGAUUUGAAAAAACAUUAAUUUUUUUUAAAAAAAACAACAAUGUUUUAAAUAAUUAAAAAAAGGGGGGUUAACCGCUGAUCUAUAAAUUGAUCAUCCACUCGUCCAACCUAACCACCUUGAGCUAGAUCACUGGUGGGCUGCGUCUCUUAACUGUGGUCCAUGAAUUGACAAGAAAAUCAGAAUAAACUCGAGCGUUUUUUUAUGACCAUGGUUGACCUAACUCUCACCUCUUCCGAGCACGAAGGGUUCCUCGUCAAAUGGGUCAACAAUAAGACAUGGUGUUGCAAGAGUAAUCGGCAAGAAUUUAACAUUUGUCAAGAUUAUAAAUUGCUUUUUAAUCAAUAGUGUAUGGAUUCAAGAGCAAUACAAGUAAAAAUAUUUAUAUUUCUUCUUUGGUAUGAUUCUCGAUCAAACAAAUUUCCAAAAUUAACAAAGAAUUUCAAGUUCUUAUAUUAUUCUAAAAAUAAAUUAAUUAGGGCAGCGCCUAACCCUGUAAUUGAUACACAUUAAAUUCAUAAAUUAAUUGUUCCAGUACCAAAGUGGAUUAAUUUAUUCUAAAGAUAGAUGCCCAAAUUGAUUUUUUUUUUAAAAGAAAAAAGUAUUGGAAAUGGCUUAAUCUUGAAGCCAAAUGAAACAGUUGUGGCGGGGAUCCCCUUUAGGGCCACCGUUUUAUUAGCUAAAAUACUUUUAAAAUGUGUCCCUCAUGGAUGGCAAUGUCCUUCUCAAUUGAUAAACAAGUCCUUCUCACGAGAGGGAGCAGCCAUCUAAUUGAUAAACAGCUAUUUUAUACAUUCUCCUUUUAAAAAAUAAAAUAAUAAUAAUUAUGAACCGUUUUGUAAAAAUAUAGAUUUGCUAUUCACCCAAUAUUAGCUUAACUUAUAUAAAAUAAUUUUAUUAUAGUUGUUUGUUUUUUAGUAUACUGUAUUGAGACUAUUGAAUCUAACCCGAUUUAUAGUCCUCGUCAUGAGUUAGAUGGAUAAACUCAUGUUAAUUCAAAGAAAGAAAAAAGUUAAAUUGAGUUUUGAGUAAAAUUACCGUGUUGCAAUAACUUGUCAUAUAAUCUAGAUUUGAUUUGAUUAACUUUUACUUGUUUUUUUAAAUAUUAAAUUUCGGAUCAAUUUAUGAAGCCGAGGUAAAUUUAAUAAUACUGGAUAAUAGUUUUUCAUUAAGUAUUUCAAUGCAUGGAUGAUAAUGAUUCUUGAAGAUUAAUUUUAUUUAAAGAUAAAGGGUAUUUGAUGUUUCAUCUAAAUAAUUCUAUGAUCAAAGUGUUGAGACCAAACUUUCGAUGUAUGUCAUACGUCGUGUCUUAAUUAUGAUGACCGUGACCACAUAUUUUUCUCUCAGCGAACAAGGAUAAAUGUGUUAAAUGUCCUAUCAAUUAGUUGCAAAUUAGAUCAAUUUAUUAAUUGGAAUAAAAUUGCUUAAGUUGCAGAAAAAAUAAUAUUGGUGUUAAUGCAGAUUGCACGCGUGUACCAUCUACUCAUAUGAUCAUCUUCACCUGUUUUCACACAGUAAUGUUUAUCGAGCAUUAAAGGUGUCGUGUUUUUUGCAUUAAAGAUGACCUGAAAAGUUAGCAGUGGGCUAUGAAAGCAAAAUAUCUACUGUCCCUCUUCUUCAUAAACUUUUAUCUCCUCUGCUCACUUACCUGUUUCUCGAUCAAAGCCAGCUUUCUGUAAGGAAAGAGAAAAAAAAAAAAAAAAACAAUGAGCAUCCAAGUUCAAGAGUCUGUGUCCUGUAAGCAAAGAUGGGUGGAUAAGAGGGUAGUGAGACGGAGAGAGAAGCAUACUCUUUAGAACUCGGAUUUCCGUGAUAGGGUAGUGAGCUGUGGUAUUUUAUUAUCAAUUAUAAUUUUAUGUUUAUUAACGUUUGUAUAUGAGUCAACUUAUAUAUAUCUCGACUGACCCUACUACUUUGAAAUACAACCAUGGAAAUUUUUAGUGAUUAUUAUAUUACAACUACAUUACUUAAACUAAAAAUCACAGUAAAAACAAACACUUGAUUCCAAGCUUUUAUUAUUGUAACACUUACUAUAUGGUUAUUAUUAAUUAUCAAUAUUUAAUAUAUAUCAUGGGUGUAUAUAAAUAAUAUUAAAAUUCUCUCUUGAAAAUUUAAUAUGAAAAAGUUAUAAUUUAUUGUUUUCCUUCUACCUGUAUAUUUAGACAAUGUAUAGAUGUGAUGGAGGUCAUUCUAAGCAUUUGAGUGGUGAUGAGUAUAGUAUUUUAAAUAUUUGGUCAGCUGAAUUAUAUAUUCAAACCUUUGAAAAAAAAAACAAAAAGGAAAGGAAAAGAAAAGGAAAAAACUUGUGAAAUGUUACCAUGUUACCUGGAAGUUUGGAAGACAGAUCUGUUAUGAUUAAUUUUUCUUAUAAAAACUUUAAUAUGCUCGAUCUAUUCAAUGGAAAGAUGGGAGUUAUAAUAUUAUUUCAGUAAUGGUUUUUCACUUUCCCGUGUGCUUAUAAAACCCAAUAUGAGUCAUGGUGUAGAUGAUAAAUUUAGGUUGAUCUUAUAUUUAAUAUAAUCAAAAUAACAUUAUUUUUAUUUAAAAACUAAAGAAAAAUUAAGGAUCGGGUUCGGGUCACCAUUUUCAGUAUUUUUUUGUUUGUUAAACUUGGAUCAAUUGAGACUCUAAUAUAGCGAAUCUUAGAGUAUAAUAUAGUUGUUUUUUAAAGUUUUUUUUAUUUUAAAAUAUAUUAAAAUAAUCUAUUUUUAAAUUUUUUUAAAAAUAAUUUUAACAUCAAUGUAUUAAAGUGAUCUAAAAAUAUAUAUAAAAAGAUUAAUUUAAAAUAAAAAAAUAAAAAAAAAUUAAUUUUUUUUAAAAACAUUUUUAAAACUUAAAGUAAUUAAGACUCUAGUUUAACGAAUCUUAAACUAGCCAGCACAACCUCUUUAGUUUCGAUAACAAAGUAAGUUUUUUCAAUGAAGGAACAAAAUUUGUCACUUCUAUGAAUUAAAAAGGUACCAAAUCCUUGUAAAAACUAUUAAAUAAUAAAAAUAAUAUUAUUUUUAUUAAAAAAUUAAAAAUAAUCAAGAAUCGGGUUCACGUCAUCUUUUUUUUUAUGGUGUUAAAAUCAUAGCAGUUUAGACUUUUAUUUUUUAAAAUUAAUAUGUUUUUUUAAUGUUUUAAGAUAUUUUAAUAUACGGAUAUUAAAAAUUAUAUUUAAAACAUAAAAAAAUUAUUUUAAUAUAUUUUUAAAUAAAAAAUCUUUAAAAACCAUCAUGGUCCUAAACAGACAAUUCAGCCGUUUUAUAACAAAGUUUUCCCAAGAAAGGAAAAUAAAAAUGUCACCUUUGUGAAUUACAAAGGUACCAAACUCUCGUAAAAUCUAAGAUUUGCGUUGAAGAAGUAAAAAGAGAAAAGGUUGGGCUAUAAAUUCAUAUCCAAAUUCAUAAUUGUUGGUCUAUCCAAUCCUUGAAAGCCAUAUAUAGCUGUCAAUCAACGUUUAUUUUUUUUAACUAAAAGAACAAAUUAAUUAAAUAGCCAAAAGCAAGGAAAUGGCCAGCUUUUUUAUUGUUUUUGAAAUUCUCUGUGUUAAUGACCGACACCUGUGAGUAAUCAACCGGGAAUAAACUUGGUUUUAAGACAAAACAGCUGCUACAAUCAAGGUUGUCAAUUCCGUUCCGUUCCGCCCGGAAUGGCCGAAACAUUCCAUACCAAUUCAAAAAACGGAACAAAACGGAACAAAUUUCAUCUCAUUUUAAAUCUCGGCCCGUUCCGGAAAUUCCGGCCAAAUUCCGGCCGAAACGUUCCGGUUUCAUUCCGGUUGUUCCGUUUCGGCCAAAAAAUAUUAUUUUAAAAAAAUUAAUAUAUGAUUUAUAUUAUUUUAAGUUAAAGAUCUAUUUAAUCUUUACUAUUUAAAAAUAUUUUAAAUUUUAAAAUUAUAUUUGUUUGGCAUUAUGUUUGUAUUGCAUAAUUUAUAAUUAAUUUAUCUUGAAUUUGAAUUAUGUUUGUGGAAUAUAUAUAUAUAUAUAUAUAUAUGAACAGUACAACCCCGAAACGGCACGCCGAAACACUCCGAAACCGAAACAUUUCGUUCCAAUUAAAAAAACGAAACACCUACCGAAACGGAAUUGACAACCUUGGCUACAAUUUGGAAUCAGGGGGACCCGAAAGGAGAAAAUUUGAAACUAACGGCUCAGUUACCGAAACCUAGCUCAAAGCUCUUCCUUGUUGUGGCACGUGUCCGAUAAGUCAUUUUCGCUUGCCGUUCUGGGUUGCAUUUCUUAGGGUUAUUGUCGUUCGCUUUUUAGAACAGGUCGUAACUGUCCUGUCAGGUGAUCACUGCCUCCUCCCCGUAUAAAAAGAUCAUCUACUUCACACAAGUUCCAGGUUUAUCAUCACGUUCUUAACAAAAGCGCGUGUCCACUCUCCUAGGAGCCCGGCUAUGUACUAGGAGUCUACGACAUGACACGUGUACACAUAAUUAUUAAAUUAUCUUAUUCAAGAUAUAAAUAACAAAUUUGUCAAGACAACAGAAACUAAGAAAAAAAAAGUGUGAAUCUUCUGUCUUAUAAUUCAAAGGAUAUAAGCCCUAGAAUGAAAAAGAAAUGCCCCUUUUAUAGGAUGAAAAAGAAAUGUAAAAAUGACAUGCUACCUAAUUUUUUUCUGUAAACUUAAAAUUUUAUUUUAAAUUUUCUUUCAAUGUUAAAUUUAUUUUUAUUUGAAUAGUCUUAACAAUUUUUCUUUCAAUGUUAAUUUUUCCCUUAAAAUCCUUUCAAAUAUUUAUUACUAGAUAAAUAAAUAAAAAUACUUAUCGAUCAUUCUAAACUUAUAUCAUAAAUUACCAUAACUAGAUAAAUAUGAUAAUAGUGAAAAAUAUUUAUCAACGAAGAGAUCAAUCCGAGUUGAUUAUUUUUAAUAAAAUAAUAUUUUUUUAUUUUUUAAAAAAUAGUGAUGACUUGAUUAAGUUCGGACUAGAUUUUGUUAAGUGAACCUAUUUGCUAAAUUUUUGAUAAGAUUAAUCAAGUCUUUCCAAUUAAUUUCUAAUCUAAUUCAGUUAAAAAUUUAAAUUUAGAUCAGGUUUCAGUUUUCCAGUUAAUGUAGUAUUUGAGAUUAUAAUAAUAAUUUUUUUAAAAAUUUAUUUUUGAUAUAACGGAUCAAAACGAUUUAAAAUCAUAAAAAAAUAAAUAAUUCAAAAGUAUUUUUUGAAUGCAAAAAAAAAAACACUCUAAAAGCUAAUUUAUUUAUACAUUUUAAAAAAUUAAUUUUAAUUUUAAUUUUUAUUUAUUUUUAGAUCAUUUUAAUAUACUAAUAUUAAAUAAAAUUAAAAUAUUUUUAAAAAUAUCUAUUAUCGUAAUAGUACCGAUUACCAAACAUGCUAGAAACCUAAUCAUCGGCAUGAAGAGUUUAAUAGGAGAAUUGAAAAACACGCACUCCUAACAAGCGUAGAUAAUGUCCUACUAACUCCACGCGAACAAAGAGUAUGUUCCAUCUCAAUUAAUCACCGUUGAUUUUCAAGAAACAGAAGAAAUCAAGCGGUGACAUUCUCCGUUAUAUUCUAUCAACAAUCAUUUCACCCUCAUAAGAGAAACUCUCUCGCUCUCUCAUACACUCGCUUUUCCCCAUAAACAAACCUCCCCCAUAAUGCGUUUCUCCCUGUGACCCUCCAAGAAAACAAGAAAGGGGUUCUUGGAAAAACUCAACUUCUCAUGGCCUCUGGGUUUUCAGGCGGCGGCGGUGGCGGUGGCGGUGGCGGUGGCGUCCAAGAUUUCUACACCAAUAGAUCACCUAUUAUACCCACCAUGAACCUAACAAAUAACCACCACAACCCAUCAUCACUGCCUCCUUAUAGAACCAACCAAAUUUUUCUUGACCAGAAUUUGUCUUCUCAUAAUUACCAACAGAUCGCUCAACAUAGAGCAAUCUUUCCCACAACCACCGCUACCACCACCUUGAUCGGCAAGCGAACGCUUGCCGAUUUUCAAGCAUUUCAACAAUCACCACCGCAACAAAACCUGCUAAACCAAGCAGCACUGAACAAUCUUCUUCUCCGGUCUGUAAAGCCGAGGAUUAAUAACAAUUUUUUCCAACAAAACACGUCUCCGAUUUCCACUCUUGAUUUCUCUGUUAGCAACCUGUCUCCUGAGCUCCCUUCCUUAAUGUCUCAACGUUACGGGGUCCCUCUUCUUCAACAGCUUCGACCCCAACACCAACAACAUCAGCAGCAGCAGCCCAUGAAUCUAAUUAGUCCUGUUGGUAUCAUCAACAACAACAGAAGCAGCAACAACAGCAUGAUGCCGUAUGUGAAUAUGUUACAGAAUCAAAACGGAGGAGGAAAUGGAAUAGUUAUGGGCCAAGAUCGGGAUAAAAAGAUGCUGAACCAGCUUCAAGAACUGGAAAAACAGCUACUUGACGACGACGACGACGAUAACCAAGAAGGUGAUGCCGUCAGUGUUAUAACGAACACAAACAGUGAAUGGUCUGAAACAAUACAUAAUCUCAUCACCUCUUCUUGUAAUAAUCCGAUUUCUCCAUCACCCACUUCAUCAUCUUCAUCCUCAUUUUCAACUGUCACAACUCCGGUUUCGAAACAGACAGUAAUCGAAGCAGCAUCAGCAAUUUACGAAGGUAAAACUGAUGUUUACACUGAGAUCUUGACUCGUGUGUCUCUGGUUUCGAGCCCAGGAGGGAAUUCUGAGCAGAGAUUGAUUGAGUACAUGUUGAUGGCUUUAAAAUCCCGGCUUAAUUCUCCUGAAAACACUUCUGUAAUGGAGCUGUAUAGCAAGGAACAUGUGGAUGCAACCCAGCUGUUAUACGACCUGUCUCCUUGUUUCACACAUGGUUUCACGGCUGCCAAUCUUGCCAUCAUUGACGCUACAAGAGAGCAAGAACAAGAGGCGAACACUUCAAGCAAUGGCUUUCAUGUUGUUGAUUUUGAUAUUGGUCGUGGAGGGCAAUACGUGAACCUUCUACACGCGCUUUCUGGGCUUAAGAAUUCGAAGCCAGCCAUUGUUAAGAUCACAGCCGUUGCUGCUGAUAGCAAUGGUGUAGAGGAGGAGAGGCUGAGGCAAGUUGGUGAAAUGCUUAGCCAACUCGCUCGUCGAGCUGGUCUGAAUUUGUGUUUCAACGUUGUGAGCUGCAAACUCAGUGAGUUGACUCGGGAGUCCCUCAGGUGCGAGCCGGACGAGGCAUUGGCUGUCAAUUUUGCGUUCAAGCUGUAUAGAAUGCCGGACGAGAGCGUGUCCUCCACCGAGAAUCCCAGGGAUGAGCUUUUGAGGCGCGUGAAGGGGUUGGCGCCGCGCGUGGUGACUAUAGUGGAGCAAGAAAUGAAUACCAACACGGCCCCAUUCAUGGCGCGCGUGAACGAAUCCUGUUCAUAUUACGGAGCGCUAUUCGACUCGAUUGAGUCAACGGUUAAAGGGGAUAACUCGGAGCGAGCCAAGGUCGAGGAGGGACUGGGGCGGAGGAUAGUAAACUCGGUUGCUUGUGAAGGGAGGGACCGUGUUGAAAGAUGCGAGGUGUUUGGAAAAUGGCGGGCCCGGAUGGGCAUGGCAGGGUUCGAGUUAAAGCCUCUGAGUCAAAACAUAGCCGAGUCGAUGAAAACGAGAUUGAGUUUAGCAAACAGAGGUAGCCCAGGAUUUAGUGUUAAAGAAGAGAAUGGUGGGGUAUGUUUCGGUUGGAUGGGAAAAACUCUCACAGUCGCAUCUGCUUGGCGUUAACUUCACUUUCUUUCUUUUAUAUUAUUAUUAUUAUUGCUGUCGUUAUUAAUUGUUUAGUGUUAUUGUUAAAAUAUAUGUAUACUUUUUUUUAGUAUUAUUUUAACCUCUUUUUUUGGCUUAUGAGAAUGGAAAGAAAAUCCACCAAACAAAAUAAUAUAAAAGGAGUGUUUGGAUGAAUUCGAGGAAGGAAGAUUCUCUUCAUUUGCAUUUAUUAUUAUUAUUAUUAAAUAUGAGGGGUGUGUGUGUGAAGGAAUCUAUGUGUUUGGUGUUAUUUGCUUACACUUGUGUGAUUUAGUUUGAUUGCUUUUUUAAAUCAAUGAUAUUUUAAUAGAGGGGAAUUGCUAGGUAUAGUUAAAAUCAUAAUAAAAGGGUUUGAACUUUCUCAAUUGCCCAUAGUGUUUGUCGCCCAAAUUAUUAAAUUUGGCUUGUUAUAAUACUUCAUGGGUUGAGUGAUAUGAAACAAGUUAAUUAAAAACGGUGUAAUGAAACUGGCUAGAUGAUUGAUUGAUUUGCUGGGUUUAUUGGAUUUUGAUUAGUUUAUUUUUCAUUUAAUUUAAUUUGAAAUAUAGCUCAAAUUAGUUUUCGAAACAACUAUUUAUUGAUUUGCUGUGUUUAUUGGAUUUUGAUUAGGUUAUUUUUCAUUUAAUUUAAUUUGAAAUAUAGCUCAAACUAGUUUUCAAAAUAACUAUUUAUUGAAUUGAUUUAUUGGAUCGGUUUUAUUUGUUAAUUUUUAUUUAAUUUAAUUUAAAAUAUAACUCAAACUAAAUUUCAAAAUAAUUCUUUAUUGGAUUGACUUGUCAGGUUGUAUCGGUUUUAAUAAUACCAUUCAUAAAAUGAUUUUUUUUUUUUAGUUUACAUUAAUGUCUUUUUUGAUAGGGAAUUGUUUUUUGUUUGAGUUUUUUUUUUUUAAGAAUAGAUCUCUUAAUAAAUGAGUUUAAUAUUUUUUUAAAGUGGUAUAUGUUUAUUGGAUUUAAAAUGAUUAAGUACUUUGGUUAAGAUGCGGAUAUUUAUUGGUAAAGAAGACGAAGAGAAAGAAGAACGAAGGAUGGAGCAUUCACACUAUUUGUAGGUUACGUGUUGUGUACCCAUUAAUUAUAUACAUAUACUAUGCAUACAUAGCAAUCAUAUAGUAUCUCCAAUAAUUAAAUUGAUAUCAUAUAAGUGAUUGAAUUUCCAUAAGCAAAUAAAAUUUCCUUAAUAUAGCUUUUAUGAUAUGAAUAAUUGUAAGAUAUGAAUAAUUCAUUGCUAUAAUCCAUCGGGAAAUCUUAGAAAUGAAAUUACAUUUUUUAGUGUUAUAGUUAUUUAGUUUUGCGUUUUAAAAGUUUUUUUAUAAAAAUAAAUUUUUUAUUUGUUUUAAAUUAAUAUUUUUUAGUAUUUUCAGAUCAUUUUGAUAUACUGAUAUAAAAAUAAUUUUUUAAAAAUAAAAAAAAAUAUAUUAUUUUAAUGCAUUUAAAAAUAAAAAUAUUUUAAAAAGUAAUCGUUAUCAUCAUUUUAAAUGCCCUCUUAACCAAGAAGAUUAUUCAAUGAUUCACUCUCACAUUCAUGUGUAGAUGAGAGUAGAACUUGAUGAUUUCUUACAAAAUUUGAGCUACGAGAGAUUCUUUUUUGAAUUAUUGAGGUCGAGAUUGAUGGUGUGUGUUGUUUUUCUUUAAAAUUCACAAAGAGGUUGGAGGAGGACAAGGGAAUUUUUUAAACUAUUUUGGCACCUAAGAUUAGAAACAUCUAUCCAUACUUUAAGAUGAAAAGACAUCAUCAAGUGAGGGGAACUGCAAACCUUUGCAACCAUAACCCCGAAUUCAGUGUUUCAAAGUGACAUUUGUUCUUUUCAAGCACGAACAUGAAUCAAUAAUUAUUAGUGAUUAUAAUUUCAAUGGAAACUGAUGGAUAUUGUCCGAACCAACUCGAAUGAAUUGGAAAUUUUGACUCGAUUUGAUUUAGACAAAACUGUAAGAAAAAACUGUGUGUUAGGUUAGUAUGUAUACAUACCUGCCCAACUCGAAAUAAAUAAAUAGUUUUAAAGCUAGAAAAAUUUACAUGUUAAUUGGAACCAAAUAGAUAUAAAUUAUAACAUUUAAGUUCAGGUCAUGGAUACUUGAUAGAUAUCUAAAACCCUAAUAAUAUCAAUUUUAAAUAUAAAAAAAUCCAUAAUCAAUCAGGUUUAUGAUGCUUUGAAUAGUUAUUUUGAGUUUAAGUAUAAAUAAUAAAACUCGAUCUAUGAUACCCCUCUAAAUCAAUCAUCGCAGAUCUCAUUUUUUAUUAAAAAGAUUAUAGAUGAUGCUAAGUUCAUUAUAUAAAAAAUUUCAUUCCCACUGCCUUCUCUUUUCUAUUUUUUAAUUACUAAUAUAACUGAAUAUCGUCUCUGCAGAACACUCGGACUCACCUUCAAUGAUCAAUCACUCAAUGCUUAUUGACACCAGCAAAACGUGUGAUGCACAAGUUGCACUCUUCUCCAGAGAAAAACCCUAAUAAAUGCAUAAUAAUUCGAGUUGUCAUCGAAGGUUUCACACACAUGGCUGUGGCUAAACAGUUACUAUAAGUGACCCUAAAAUGGGAAAGGAAACAGAUGCUUUUUGAAAUGAGCAGGAAAAAAAAGAAGAACAAAAGAAUACAACUGACAUUAGAAUUCCAUUAGCUCCACCAAUUGUGUGAAAUUUGAAGUAAAUGGGAGUAUAGGACAUACCACCGAAAUGUUAUUAAACUCAAUUGUAUAUUUAAUUAAUCAUGUGAAUUGCGUGACUUGAAAUGAUUUUAAAAUUUAAUUAAUUAAGAUUUGAUUUGAUUUAAUUUUGGUUCAACUCGAUCGACUUGACAUGUUAAUUUGCUGUGACUUGAUUAAGACUUUGUAAUUUAUUUUGAAAAUCAUGUUGUUUUAAUUUCUUAAAAUAAAAAUAAAAUUACUACACUGUAUUAAGUAGGUGUAAAAUAAAGAAAAUUAUCAAUGGUGUCCAUAGAUGGUUGGAUUUGACGGGCUGAAUAGAUAAUCACAAACAUGUCACCAAAAAGCAUGGUAGAACAACCAUGCCAUGAGAUCAAAGUCACUUUACACAAUAGUAAAGUCAAAACCCUUUUUUUGUCUCUUAAUAUUUACAUUUUUAUUUAAACUUUAUAAUAAAGUUGUGGUACUUUUUAUCCCUUUUCAUCCAGUGGCACAGCAUGAACGAGUGUCACCCGGCUCUUGUUGGUCUCGAUGCUCUUAAUAGUGAAAAUUAUUUCAAGAGCAUUUAAUUCAAAGAAAAAAAGAUUUUAGCUCAAAUCUCAAUUUUCUCCCCCUUUUAGUUCCUAAAUCCGAUCCACCCGAUAAGUUAUUCUGAACAAACAACUCGUUAUCUCGGUCUGGAAUGAGAUUUUAAAUUAAAAUUUAAAAAAUAUAAAUUAAUUAAUCCAAUCAGACUGAUGUGAUCAAUUUGAUGAAUUUUUUUAAAAUAAAAUAACAUCAUGAAUAAAUAUAUUUACGAGAUAAUCCAAUGAACUAAAUUCUUUUUUUGGAGGUACGACAAGGAACAACUAGGCUUCCUAGCACUCUAAAAAAGGAAAAAGAAAAGGAAUAAAAAACAUGUCUUCUCCUAGCUUAGGCAGGAUGGGAUCCCAUAUAUGAAAAUGGUUUCAUCGGAGGCCCAAGCCCAUAACUAUCGCACAAGCUCAAGACUGUAGCCACUGGGCCAGGCCUUGUACAUUUCAAGCCCCAACCAAGAAAACCUGCCGAAGGAAUCUAGGCCUAGAAAAAUAAGAAAUGGAUCCUAAUCCAUCCUUGGAAUACAUUUAUUAUUUUGGAUUUUUAGUUUCAAAUUUAUUUUGUAUUGGAUUGAGAAAAAACAAUGCCUACAGAUUGAUGUUGUGUCCAAAUCUAGGAGGGUUGUCGUAAAUAAAUUAGUAAAUAUUGUUUUUAUUUUUUAUUUUUGUGAUAAAUAUAUUCUCAUGCUAGCUAGCUUGUGUAUAAACUAUUCAUGGAAAAUUCUAAACACAUGAUAUAUUUUAUUUAGAUGAAUUUAAUAUGUGUUUUUUAGAUAAUAAUCUAAAUUUUAAAUUUAAUUUAGUUGACAUAUAAACUAAUCCAAAAAUAUUCUUUUAAUUAAACUAAAAAAUUUUAUGUCAAAACCAGUCAUUAAGCUAUGACGUGAUGCAUGCAUGUGGCAAUUUGUUUUUAACCCAAAAGGUUACGAGGAUCUCCUCGGCUUUAAGGGAUCUCAUCUCAUCAUAACCAUUUAGUUAGGGUUUAUGAUAUUCUUACAGGGGGAGGAAAUCUUGAUGCAUAAUCGAGUAUCAAUAUUUUGUUUUAAUUAGCUCGAGGGUUAACUUUGCGACAAAUUUGUGAUUGGGGUCAAGAGUUUUGCUUUUAGGAUCUAUAUGAGUCAUUUUGUAAGUUAUAGGACCAGAAUGUAUACUUUAUGGAAAAACAAAAACCUCAUCUUCUUCAAAUAUAUAUAUUUUUAAUUUUUUUAAAAUAUUUUUGAAACAUAAAUAUGAUCUAAAAUUAGUCCCUGUUUGUUUGCUGGAAAGUAGUUUUUUUUUGGAAAGUGAAUUUCGAAAAAGUAAAUUCCGGGAAAGUGAAUUAUUUUCCAAUAUUUGGUAAUGUAAUGAAAAAUAAGUUGAAAAAUAUUUUUCAGUGUUUGGUUAUGUCAUGGAAAAUGAACUAGAAAAUAACUUAUUAAUAUUUUUUUCCUCAAGUUUAUUAAACUAACGAGGAACAAAUCUUACAAAUUAAAAAGUUAAAUGAGAAUGAAAUUGAAAAAAAAAAUCAUAAAUUAUAUCAAAUAAAAUAAAUAAUAAUCAAAAUAAUAGAGAUAAAAUCUAAAAAAUAAAAAAAAUGAAAGAUGAAGAAAUUAAAAUAAUAAUAAUUAACAUCUCAUAAAUUAUUUGAAAUAAAAUAAGUAACAAUCAAAAGAAUAAGGACCAAAUUUGAUAGAUAAAAAAUUUCAAUAAAAAAAUGAUAAGGAAAAAGUUUGAGAGAUGAAAUUAAAAAAUAAAUAUUCAAAAUAAAAUAUAUAUAGCAAUCACAAGUUUGAGGAUCAAAUUUGAUAUAAUCAACAAAUAAUAUGACAUUUCUAAAUUUUUCACAACUUCCGGAUAGUGUUUUCUGCUCAAAUUUUCUAAAAAAACACUUUCUUGAAAACUAAGCUAUAUUUUUUUAAAACUAGAAAGUGUUUUCUGUUAAUUAACUUUUAUAAUAGCAAACAAACACAGAAAAGUUUGGAAAGUGAUUUUCGACCACUUUCCAGGAACAAACAUAGCCUUACCUUAAAAAAAAAAAAAAAAAAAACCCACAGAAAUGGGAUCAUAUGUUGAUUAACUUUUAUUAGGACGUGAUGCAUGUACGUGGCAAUUUUGUUUUUUAACCCAAAUGGUUACGAGGAUUGGCUUUAAAGGGUCUAUAUGAGUCAUUUUCUAAGCUAUAGGGACUAGAAUGUAUACUUUAUGGAAAAACAAAAACCUCAUCUCCUUCAAAGAUAUUUACAUAGUAAUCCAGAUCUAUAAAAUUAAUAGUUUAUUUAUUAUUCUUUUUUUUUUAAAUAAUAUAUUUUUAAUUUUUUAAAAAUUAUUUUUAAUAUCAGUGUAUUAUCAUGUUUUAAAAAUAUUAAAUAAAUAUUAAUUUUAAAUGAAAAAAAUAAUAAAAUAUUUUUAAGUUUUUUAAAAAUAUUUUUAAAACUUUAAAAAACUAUAUGAUCUAAUUAAAUUACCUAAAACAAAAAAAAACCCACAGAGAUGGUAUCCUCUCUUGUACUCCCCUCACCAACCUCCCUCUUCUCCUCUCCCUCCCUCCCUCCGCAGCAAACUUUCCAUCCUUCCACCAUGAACAGCCGCCUUCUCUUCUCAAACUGCAUGCAUAAUCCACAACUGAAAACCCCAUCAAACAAACAAACCAUGACCAAACUACAAUCACUCCUCGGUCUCUAAGACUUCAAUGCUUGGUGUCUUGACAACAUUGCUAAUGCUGAACUUGCAGAUUAUGGUCCGGUUUGUGGUACCAUGGUUACUCGUCCCUAUGGUUAUGCCAUCCGGGAAGGCGGGAAGCCAUUCAGGUCCUUAAAAUCCGAGCUUUUUAGUUGAAAGUAGAUAAUUUUGAGAUUUUUUUUUAAUGGAAUGUUGAAAGUUUUGAGCUUUUUCUGGGUUUUGGCAUUGCAGGAUUAUUCGAAGGUGAAGUUUAAGGAGACUGGACAUAACAACGCGUACUUUCCUCAAGUUUGUUUUGUGGGGUAUUUAUUUAUUUGUCUGUGGAAUGCUAUAAAUGCAGUGUUGUGAUUGAGUUGAGGUUUUGAGUUGAGUGGAGUGUUAUGAUCCGUGUUUGGUUUGUUUAGGUAGGUUGAAAAAGGGUCCGAGGUUAACUUUGAGUUAAGAAAGUACUCAAGCUCGGUUUGUUCACUUUUUUAGUAAGUCUAGGUUUAUGCUGAGGAUAUAGUGACAAAACGACUAAGGAACUUAAACAAUUUAUCAUCUAAGGAUUAGUUUGUAGUUUUUGUUUUAUUAGAAAUACAGCAAAGUGGUAUGCCUGAAUAUAACUUUUCCCAAAAUCAAUUCUUAAAGACACAUUCUGUGGUCAUGGACACUUUGAGCUGAGUAUUCUAUUGUUUGAGUUUGUUUGUGAAUGAUAUUGAAUUUGAAUUAUGGGACUAAUUUGCUUUUCUUUUUUUGUGUAUGAUGUUUUUAUGAGACAAAUCAGAGCUGAGCUCAAGUAGCAUGGUUUGUUUUUACAACUGAAAUUGCAUGUGUGUGUUCUUGUGGAUGGACUUUGUUUGAGUUUGUCUUUAAUUCUUGUGCUGGUAUUUGUGUGCUGUAGUUUAUACCAAUACUCAUUUAUUGAGAAAGAAGCUAGUCAUGUUGAGGGGUUCAGUCCAGAACUGGCUCUUGUAACUAUCACGGGAGGAAAGGAACUUGAAGAAAAACUUGUGGUAACAUUUGAUUUUUUCUAGUCUUGGAAAUUUAAGGGUUGAUGAAAAUGUUAUGUUGUUUCAUUUUCUUGAAAAACAAUGACCUGAGUUUUGGCUUUGAUUGUUGCACUUGCUGAAGUUGUGGCAGGUUUGACCCACUAGUGAAACCAUAGUGAAUCACAUGUUUACUCAGUGGGUUCAUAGUUAUCGUAUCUUCUUGUCAAGGUAAACCAUGUAAAAGUUUGGUCACCUGUAGCGAAUAGCUUCCAGUCAUGGAGGGUUGUUAUGUACAACUUGUUUUUUCCCCUUCCCCUUCCUAUUAAUAUUUUGUUUUCUGUUUUAGUGGGUAAAUAUCACAAGAUCAGAGAUGCGCACAAAACCAUUUGUGAGGACUCUUGAAUUUCUGUGGCAGGAGGGUCACACAGCUCAUGCCAAUCCAGAGGAGGCAGAAAAUGAGGUUUGCAUCAUAUUGAGCUGUAGUAUGCUUGAUAUAUGAUAGCGUACUAGCAUUUGCAUUAAAUGGAUUUGCGCUGCUGAAUCGCAGGCAUUCCAGAUGAUCGACGUCUAUACAAAAUUCACUUAUGAGCAAGCUGCAAUACCUGUUAUUACAGGUAGAAAAUCAAAAGUGGGAACUCUUGCUGGUGCUGAUAGGACAUGUACAAUAGAGGCUAUGAUGGGUGAUCAGAAGGCAUCACAAGCUGGAACUAAUCACAGUCUUGGGCAAAACUUUUCUCGGGCUUUUGGAACGCAGGUAUUUUAGUCAAUAGUUUCGAGAUAAGAUUAUUUCACACACUUUAUGAGUUGCUGCUUGCUGAGUGUUUUGUUGCUCUAUUUCUCGCAUGAUAUGCAAAGAAAAGCCAACAGCAUAAUUUUGAAAAUAUAUUUUAUUAAUUAAAUCCUUUUUAGUGAAUUAUCAGCUAAUUCCUGUGGAUAAAUAUAAUGAAAAUCAAUACCCCUUUGGUUUACAUGACCAUCACCUACAAUGGUUUUUUUGAAAGCAUGGUUAUGGAAUAGGGAAAAAACAAAUGUUGCAAGCUCAAGGUUUGAGUUAAAUCCUGGUUAAUUUACCUGGGAAAUUCCCUUCCAUUUGGUUUAGAAACAACAAAAUGGCCAGUGUGCAUUUUGGUAUCUAUAAACAAUUAGACUGAAUGAACUUACCUUUACUAUUCCUUUUGUUUUCCGUCUAUGUAACAUAUAUAAUGCUUAACCUACCAUGUGGGUUAAGGUUCCUUUUUUUUCCUCUUCACAAAACCACGCACCUUAAAUACCAUUCCCUACAUGAAGUAGUUCAGAUGGCAACGCCUGAGCUUUAUACUGUAUAAGAGCCUACAGAUUGCUUAAUUCGGUGCCAGCACUCUCCUGAAUUCCUGGUCACCUUAUUGGGUCCUGCUCUUUGUAGUCUUAUCCUAGGCAUGGUGUUUUAAAGUGUUUUUGUCCAAUACCAUAUGCCUAUGUUUGGCAGCCACUCGUUUAUGAUGAAGGAGAAAGGGAACCCAUGUAAUACAUGUGCAGUAUAUAGCAAUUUAGUGUGCGAGAAGCAGAAGUGCAUGCAAGUGUUUAGAUGUAUUAUCCAAGCAUGUGUAUAGGUGCAUGCAAUUGUCUAGGUCUCUUGUCCCGAUAAUAUGCAAGAAGACAAGUGUCUUUGAGGUGUCAUGCACUAAAGCUUGGCUAAUGUUAGGUAAGACCUAUCCAUCUACAUGUCCAAAUAACCAAGCUUCCUAACACCUUUAGAAGGAGGCAUCAUGUUUGGAACAAGCAAGCUCUUUUGAAUAAGUAUCCCCAAGUACACAUAUGUUAUAGUUUUAUCCGAUGCUUUCCUCUUUGUUAACCUUAUACAUACCACCACCUUUCAUGUCCCUAUACAAAUUACAUGUAUCACAAGAAUAGACCCUUGUGCAUAACAGCCUCCUUGUUUUGUUUAGAGCAACUCAACUGGGUUGCACAGCAGUGAUGCGCAUAAAGCAAACAAAGAAGAGGAACAUAAAAAGGAGAUUGUAUGAUAACAUGGAGUUUUAUUUCAACAAAGCUUGUUUGGCGCAUAAGAGAAUGCCUCCUUGUAUAGGUAUUAUGAGUCUUGCUUAAUUUGGGCACAUAGGUGAACACAUGCUAGCUAAACAUGAGUAUAAGUGUUUGUACACAGCCCCUCAAAGACACUUGUGUUCUUGCUCAUUAUCAAGACACUACUUAAAGACACCAAGACCUUUGCAUGCACCCAUUCUUAUUCUGGCACGCAAUUACAAUAUAUCUCCCAUUGCAUUCUCUGAUAUGAAGUGGCUCAGUUGGCCAUGUCCGAGUUUUAACUUUAUCAGCUUCUGUGGCAAGUGUCUAAGCUUAACUCAGUAGUAGCACAACAAUGAUCAUCUCAUUGUUCCAGCAUUUUGCAAUCUUAACCUAGGUGUGAUUGUUUAAAUUGUUUAGCUGUGUUGCCAUUGUCUCAAGAAGUGUACAUAAACAUCAGUAAAGGGUAAUAUCCUGCUUAUUCUUUGCCUAUGUGCAUUUGGAUGCAGGGGUGAAUACCAGACUUUGUUGAUUGUCUGUUCUCUGCCAAUGACUUUUUUUCCUCGAUAUUUUUUCAUGUUUUCCUUUUAACCUACCAAAUAUAGAAAUCGAUCCUUUCCCUCCCUUCACUAUUGAAUUUUACUUAUAAUUUGAGAAGUCCGUGAUCUUAACAGAAAUUAUGUGCCUUUACAGUUUAUGGAUGAAAUUGGAGAGAGGCAACAUGUGUGGCAGACAUCAUGGGCUAUCAGCACCUGCUUUGUUGGUGGUAUAAUUAUGACCCAUGGUGAGGAUUCAGGUCUAAUGCUACCACCAAAACUUGCACCAAUAAAGGUACUUGUGUAUCUCUAUUAUUGAUUUCUUAAGUUAAGCAUACAUGUGUUUCUUAUUAUCAUUGUUGUUUUACAUGCAUUUAGAUCAAAGGUACUUUGGUACUUGUCAGGAAUCAUUCAAUUUUAUGUACUUGAUCUAAGAAUAGAGAUGUUUCAUUCUGUUAAGGAAGCUUGUUGUUGCUCUCUUUUGUGGUUGUAAUAUAGCAGCACAUACUUUGGUACUUUGUUGUUGCUGUGUUCAGGUACUUGGACAAGCAAUCUUUUGUCUAUUGGAGAAAAAUAUCUCAUCAGGACAGUCUAUGCAUAAGCAUUUGGUUUCAGUCUUCUGAUAGGUGCCUGUAUGAAAGUAAAGUUUAGGUUUUUGAGUUGCCAUUUUCACGUUUAGUAGAUAACAAACAACUUGUUUUAUGAGUUAUACUACCAUUUCAAUUUGUUCAUCCUAUCUGUGUUGCAUUCUUCCAGGUGGUGAUUGUGCCAAUCUGCAGAAAGGAGGAUGAAAAAACUGGAGUUCUCAAUACAGCAUCUUCUGUAAAAGAAAACUUGCAAUCUGCUGGUAUCAAAGUUAAACUUGAUGACAUGGAUCAGGGAACCCCGGGAUGGAAGUUCAAUUUCUGGGAGAUGAAGGUCUGUUCUUAUUCUUAUUUUAAGUACAUGAACAAAAGAAAAGAUUAAUAAUUAAUUAAUGAUUUAGCCCUGUAAUUAAUUAUGACUUUCAUGAAAGGUGUCCGGAUGUGUCUCGGUCAUUAAACAUUAUGGUAAUCUGUCAAAAAGAAUCUGAAUUGUACAUUUCUUCUUGUGCCUGAUGUCAAUUUUGGAUGCUUAUGUCAUUGUGUGACUUAUGCAAUGUGUUGGACUUGCUACACCUGGUCCUCACUUUUAUUUUAUUUUAAAAAAUAGUUUCAAUUAGUCCCAACUGCACUUUUGAUUAUUUUUUGUUUCAAUUUUUUUUUUUUGGUGAUUUUGGAUCAUUUUGAUGUGCUGUCAAAAAUAAAUAAAAAAUAUUAUUUUGAUGCACUUCCAAGUGAAAAGCACUUUGAAAAACAACUUCUAUCACAGACCCUUAUCCUUGUUCAUAAAAAGAAAGCCUUUGAAACGUGUGGAACAGCCCUUAUUUUGUCAAGCAAAUAUUAAAUAAUACUUUGGUUUUAAGAGGGGGUACCUCUUGAGGAUUGAAAUUAGUCCCUGGGAUGUUUCAAGUGGAAGUGUGGUCAUGGUCAAACCUAGGAGAGAUGUUCCUGGAAAGCAAGGAAAAGUGUUGGAAUAUCCAUGGAGCCUUCAAUUUUAGAAGCUUCCGCCAAGGACAAGGUGGAUGAGAUCCAGUCAUCUCUUCUGGGUAGGGCAACAUCAUUUCGAGAUAGGUGCAUGCUCUUGCUCAAACAUUAUGUGUAGUGGAAGCUUAGUUAUGUGCAUCAAUUAUUGGAUAUGCGAGCUCUACUUUUCAUCGAGUUCAUCUAUUAUUAUUUUUCAUAUAUCCACACCACUGCUGCUCACUUCCUUUUCUUUGUGGACUUUGCUUUGAUGUCAAGGCAGUAAUAGCACCUAUAGGCUUCUUUAGGAGAAAAACAGGUUGUGGCCUAAUAAUGCAAAUAAUAAGCUGACUUUUUCAAAAACGUGAGGCAUAAUCAUCAUAGUAGACCAUCCUACCAGAAUGAAAAGGAAGGCCAGCAUGAUUCACAGGAAACAAUAAAUUGCUUUUUUACUAGCAAGGAUGUAAGAAUUGUUUUCGUAAGACCACAGGUUUUCUAUUUCAUAUAACAUUAACUUUGUCACAUGAUGGAAACUGCCAAAGCAAUGAAACUGGGAGUUUAUGCUUCAUCUUAAUAGCCUCAGGCACUUUGACUAAAUCUCUAGAUUUAGAUAUAUAGUUACUUUAUCAUUGUGCAUGCAUGGCAUUAUUGUUCUGGAAGCAUGAUUGCAAUUAGGCUAUUUUUACUUGUGUAGUUGUGUACCGAUUCCAACAAUCACAGCCAUCUGUAAUGAAGUCCAUCAGAUUCCUGUAUUCGUAAAAAACAUCUAAUAUUAUUCUGAUGUUUUCUUGCAGUAACAUUGUGGAUGUGGGCUCAUAUGAUGAAGUCAAAGCGGCAAUAUCCCUGGGUAAAUGGGCAAGGAGUCCUUGGUCAGCUAGGUAGUUUAUUUUGUUCUUCUUCAUGUUAGUAGUGGAUAAACAAUUACAGUGUUGAGAUCAAAGUAGGAGGGACUCACAGCAUGUCUAAUACUAUGCUGUGUUUGUUGACUGUAGUGAUGCGGAUGAACAGGGAGUAGAAGAAGAAACAGGGGCAACCAUUUGGUGUUUCCCCUUAAAACAGCCUCAAGGGACUAAAACAUGCUUGAUGACUGGCGGCAAGCCAGCAGAAGAAGUUGUGAUUUUCGCUCAUAUCGAGUCCUGUCCCCCAUCAGACAUUCAAAUGGUCUCAUUUGGGAGAGGGCGUUUACCCAUGGUAAAGUUUGUCAUGGAUUCCAGUUCUUCCUUGUUUUAGUAAUUUUUAUCAAGAGGGUGACCAAACCAAUGCAUCAUAUUAUUUUACCAUGGAAGAUAACGGAGAAAGAGGAAAGAUACUGUUUUAGGUGGUAUAGACAGAUUUCCCAAACAACCAUUAGAUGCGGGUUUCUUGCGUGAAGUGUUUCCAUCUCAAUCAGAGAUAGAGUAAGUUGAAGAUGGACUUAAAAUAUCAUUUUUGCAAUCCCUUGCAACCAUCAAUCCCACCUUAUUAAAUUUCUUUGGAAAUGUCAACUUGCUCUGUAACAUGUGAAGUGCCAAUCCAGGUCGUGACUGACACACAUGGAUCGGGUGGUUACAUGCUACAUGUGUGCAGGUUGGACCUCUUGUGCAGAUAAUGCACAUGAGGUGUAGACAUGUCAGCUGGAUCAAUCAUGAUUCCAUUAUCUUGGUUAGAGUUCUUAGCACUCUAUCACUUGUUGAUAGCACUCUCCUUUGUGGAGAGAGUCAAAAGUUUGAGAACAGAGUGCCUAGAUCGGAAUAGUUGGUGUCCAUCGGAAAACGGGCAAAAUGAAGGGAUAAACCUGAGAGAAGAUGCUACAAUAGGACACAAGCCCAACCAGUUUAGUUUAUUCAGAAUGCGAAGAAGGGUCAAAUAUGAGUGCAGAGUAGUAGGUGAGAUCAGCUAACUCUCUAACCACCCUUCUUCACAAGUGGAGUGUUGAUAUCUCCACCACAAUAUUUUGGACUUAACCUGAUUGCAUCUUCUGUAAUUUGCUGGUGGAUGUUUUCCUUGCUGUCCUUGUCUGGAAAAUGUUGCAGUUAGGAUGUGACUGUGCUAAAGCAUUCCUUUUUUACAACAUUUUAGAUCGGAAAACACUUCGCACACAAACAAAAUUACACACUAAAUUCUCGUGCAAACCAAUUUGUCAUGUAAUAAAUGAUAAAAAGUGCUGGUCCCGAAAGUAUCAAACGAUUAGUUAAAAAUAACAAGUAGCAACAUGGAAAUUUCGCAAGAUUUGUUUGUUUGCAUGCAUAGCAUUGCUCCUAGUUUAAUCGGGUAUCCUGGGCCCAAAUGUUACAAGACGUCUAUCAGAAGAUUUUCUAGAGAAAUGGUGUUUGUUAGCUAAGAAAAAUACCAGAGAAGAUAACCGCCUGGGUUGAGUUUUUUCCAUCGCCAUCCUUAGACCUGCUUUCAAAGCUUUGGAAUGGUAGGAAGGAAGAGAGGAGACAACUUGAGGAAAUUUUAGCAGCCCAAGGAGGGUACGAAAGUCAUGGAGAUUUGAUAUCGUGAUAACAGUCGGUGUUUGUAUUUUUUAAAAUAUAUUUUAAUAAUACUAAAAAAAAUUAAAUUAAAUUAAAGAAAAUAAAUAAAUUGUUUAAAAGCGACACAAAAACAAACAGUAACGGUGUUGUACGGUGAGAAUGCUAAAAGGGGCAGCUGCUAUGUGCGGAUGAUAGGGUAGGAUUCAGAGAGUUCCCGAAGAAGCUUGAUGGGAGCAUCUGGGUCGUCCAUGACUGGGGAAAACUGGCACUCAAGUGGGUCCUUUUGAUGACGUGGAAGGAUCAGGUGCGAUUCAAUUUUUUGGAAAGGAAUCUUGACUUUUUCAAUUGUGGUGGGGUUCCUGGCGUGGAAUAAAAGUUAACGCGCUUCCGUGUGGGUCCCUUUUUGAAAAUAAGAUAUUAAAUAACAAAUAUAAAAUAUAUAAAAAAAGGAAAGUAUCAAAUUAUUGAAGAAGGCAAAUUGCAAGGUGGUGAGUGACGCAAAGAACUUUCUUUUUCUUUCUUUCCUCCUUUAUCCCACCCCUCUUCUUCCCCCUUCUAUUCAUCACUUCUUCUUUGGGCAAAUUCGAUAAUACAACAACGUUAUUGUUUAAUUAAAAUAAUAUUCUUUUAAUUUUUUAAAAAUAAUAUUAUUAGUUUGCAGGUUAAUUUAUCAUGACAUCAUGUUAAAAUAGAUUAAUUUCAAGUUAAUUUUUAAAAAAACAACCUAAACCAGGAUCAAAUCGAUUAGAUUUUAAAUUAAUUGAUAAGCCAAUACUAUAUAUCAUCAUGAGAUAUAUUUUUGAUAAAAUAUAAAUAUGUAUGUGAAUUAAUAUAAUUAUAAAUAAUACACUUGUUGCUGAGUGGAAAUCCUCUUGGCUUACAUUUAUUAUUUAACAAAUAAAUUAAUAAUUUAUUUUGAAAAAAUAAAUUCUCUUACAGAUAAAAAAAAUAUAAAAAUAAAAAUAAUUAAUGCUACCCACACGUGCCGGGUACAAGGAGUUUCGACUAUCUUGGAUUGAGAAAAGAAUAUAAUUCCCGAAAAUAAUGAAAUGUUCAUUUACACAUUAAUAUAAAGAAUUAAUUGAUAUAUUGUCUGUCGCAUUAAUAAACAUUAUCGUAUGGCGCGGUUGUCUGAUCUUGAUGCUCUUGUGCUAUUCUUGUUUCAGUGCCCUAAUUAUAAUUUAGCACAGCUAAAUAUAGUUUAUUAGCAAUUAUUUUGCAUGAGAUUUAAAGGGUAUAUAAGAAUAUAGUUGCGAUUGUUUUUUAAAAUAUUUUUUAUUUGAAAAUACAUCAAAAUAAUAUUAUUUUAUUUUUUAAAAAUUAAUUUUAAUAUCAACGCAUCAAAAUAAUAUAAAAAUACUAAAAAUUAUUAAUUUUAAAUAAAAAAUUAAAAAAACAUGGUUUGCACCGCGUUAUCAAAUGCUUCCAAUUACAUCACACUCAUUGCAACCUCUAGUGUUUUCUUAAAAAUAAAGCGCUGACUAUUCAAAGCGAGAUAAAUGAUUUAUUUAAAAAAAUAUAUGGUGUUUAAUAAUACCUGUUAGUUAUAAUUUUGUCAUGUGUUUAAUGAAUAGUUAUUUGUUAUAAUUUAUUUUAAUGACAGAUAGGUAUGAAAAAAAAUAUUUUAAGUGAAAAUAUUUUAUCAUUUUGGAUUUUAUUUUAUUUUAUUUAUUUAUUUUUUUUCAGUAGAAUGCCAUUAAUUACUUAUAUAUACCAUAAAAAUGUUCCAUGCCAUCAACCACACCAGCUACUCCAGAAAAUUCAAUUUCUCGUUUUUUUUUUUCUCAACUCCCAAUCCACGUAAACUAGUUGAAAGAGAGUAAAAAAAAAUCAUAGCCUGCUACCAUGACCUCCAGAGCCGCCAUCUUCACUCGAAAUAUAAAAAAAGAAAAAAAAUCACAAAAUUUUACAGUGAAUUUCACCUGGGCUUUUGCAAUAACUAAUGCCUUUUCACAUCAACUCAUAUGAUAUCCAUUCUAUUGUGUCUUGCGAGAUAAAAGAUGGAGACCGUGAAGAAAUAGCUAUGUUAUAAAGAUGUAAAAAUAAAUUUGAUUUCGGGAUAAUUUUAUAGUAAGCAUUUAUAUUUUUAAAAUAUGAGGUAUAAAAAGGACAUGUUUUUAAAGAUAAUAUUUAUUAAUUUUUAAAAAUAACUUUGUAAAAAACUCUUAAUUUUUAAACUAUCUAAAACAUAUAAGAAUAAAAAUAAUAAUUAUUAUAAUUUUGUAAUCCAACUUGAGGGUUGAUAUGAGACAAAACCCAGGUCAGUGGUUGAGGCUCAGGUCACAUAUCAAAUUUAUCCGAGUUAAUAUAAAAAUAAAAAUAAUUAUUAUCAUAAUUUUAAAAUUCGAUUCGAUAAUCGAUCUAGAACAAGGCUUGAAUCAUGGAUGAGGUUGACCAUUGGCCUAUGUCCACAUAAGGACACAAUAAUUAUCAUCGUAAUUUUUAAAAACCUGACUUAUGGUAAGGCUUUAAUUACAUGUUAAGAGAGUUAACUUAAAAUAAAAGUAGCUGUUAUUAUAGUUUUAAAACUUGAUUUAGGGGCUAACUUUAAAACCUGACUUGAGGAUUGACCAGGGUAAGGCCAACGUCAUGAAUUGAGAGAUCAACACGGAUUAACCCGAGCCAACGUAUGAAUAAAAAUGAUUAUAAUCAUAGUUUUUAAAUCUAAUCGGAAGUUGAAUUGAGACAAGGUUCAUGUCAUGGACUAGAAGGGCCAACCUAGUUAAUCUAGAUUAAAGAAAAAAAAACCAACCUUGUUUUGACAAUUUUUUUUAAAGUCAACUGGGUUUUAACCUGUAUUUUAUCAUGGAUUGAUUUAGGUUUUUUAUUGAGUUAGGUCGAGUUAAUGCUUCUUCUAUUUUUCUUAAACCCGGACCAAUACAAGUCCUAAGUCAACCAAUCAUUUCAGUUUUAGUUUUUUAACCAAUAUUAUUACUUUCAACACUUAAUAUAAACUAAAGUAAAAAAUAUAUAUUUUUAAUUAUUUUUUUAAAAAUAUAUAAAUAAGUUUGACAACAAUACAUAUAAAAAAUAAAAUAAUUUUUUUUUCAGGUCCUACCAAAACAGUAUACAUAAACAAUAAUUUUGUCUUAUAAAUCUAUAUUAAAUAAAAUUUUAUAUCUAUCUUUUUUAUAUUGUUUCCCGGUCUCUAUUUUUUUCUCUCAAAAGCUACGAGGUUGCAGAGACUAAUUUUGUUAGAGUUAAAAGAGGAAGGGAUGAAGCAAAAUACGUGCCCUAAAUCUCGACUAUUAUGUCUUUAUCUUAUCAUGAAUUGCUUUUUAGUUACAUUAGGAUAAAAAUUCUUUUUGCUUUCUCUUUGUCCUUUACUGGUAUUUAAUUUGGGUGUUCACAUUUUUUCUCGAAGAAGACUUGAAGUGAUUAUGAUUUGAAUGAUUUUUUUUUCCUACCAAACAAAUUCCUCUCCAAUAAUGUAAUUGUGUCUCAAUUUUUUUUCCCUCAAUUUAUUUUAUAAUUUUGGAAGACUAUAUGAAUCAUUCGAUAAUAACUAAUAGGCUCAUGAUAUAGAUCAUACAAAAUACUUUCAGAAAUCUCAAAAACUUUCUUUGAAAUUGAGAAUUGAAUUUAAUAUUAUAGUAUAGGGUGCUUUUUAAUUAAAAAUAUAUUAAAACAAUUUUUUUUUAUUUUUUUGUUUUUAACAUCAAUAUAUCAAAAUUAUCAAAAUAAAACUUAAAAAAAAUAUAAAUUUAAAGUAUUUCAAAUGAAAUUUUUUUAAAAAAAUAUUUUAAAAAGCAGGAAUAAAAAAGAUACAAAACAAGAGCAUGAUAUUAAACUUUUAAAUGUUGAAAAAUCAUUCCAUACAUCAAAGAUAAUGCUUGGCCUUGUCGUAUUUAUGCAUGAUCAACUACUCCUAAUUAAUUAUGUUUUGCCGUAUUACAAAGGAAACAUUAUAGCCUACCAUUUAUUAAAAAAAAUAAAAAAUUCUCUAACCUAAUCAUCAUAUUUCAUGGAAAGCUUCCCACGGGUCAUGCGGAUCCAUGCCCACGCCCUUUAAUUCAGGGAUGAGAAUGUCUCAAGUUAGGUUAAGUUUUUGUCUA